UCCCCUGUACUGUACAAUAGCUGUGGUGGUUGUGUUAUCAUAAAAGUCUUGAUAUUUCGGGGCAACAGAAUAAGUUAUAGCCGCCAUGUAAUAGUGAUCCGGGCGUUGGUUAGCUUCUAGUAAGACAUCGAAGGUUUGACCAGGAAAUAUUGUGAUAUAAUCUCGUGUCAAUGGUUUCGUGUAGCUACCAUCUGUUCCAACCACUGUCAUUUUAUGCUUAGCUAUGGCGAAGAAGAGAGCCUCGUGCAAGGCAGCAUUGAUUAUGCGAAGUAAAUAGGUCUUUCCAUGAUCCACCGUUAGCUUGAACGUGCCUACAAUUAGAAAGGGAAAGUUGUAUACUUAUGACUAGCCAAAAGAAAAAGAAAAAGUUUCCAUGAGGAUCUACCAAUCAUGAAGUGAUUGAUUGAUUAGGGGUGUAAAUUUGGCUCCAUAGUUUAAAAUUAUAUUUGGACUAGCCUUUUUUUGUGUGUUAAAUCAUGUCUUUACCAUCCUCAUAGCUAUAGCUAUGUUCAUGUUGAUAAGAAAAAGUAAUAUGGUUAAUAUACAAGAAAAUGAAAUUGUGUACAAUUUUAAAAUGGGAAGUUAAACUUUGUACCUGAUUUUGAGCAUGGAUAUAGAUCACCGGGUUGUCCAUUUAUCAAUAAAGCAUCAGAGGAGUUGGGGUCUGCUCCGGUUGCAAGCCCUUCAUCUCGAACCUCAUUCACAUCCCUUUUCCACCAUUCUCCUACAUUUCAACAACUUCAAUAAUUUUAGAUUUUGCUUUGCUGGUUAAUUCAUAAUAUGUAAAUUGACCUUUAAAAGUAACAACACUUAUACCUAAUAUGAUGGGGACUUCUGCAUUAGGUUUGUGAAAAGGAUACUUGGUUCCAUUCUUGGGAUAGAUGAUUAUAGCUCCAUGAACAGUGGCUCGGGUCCAGUCACUGUGGGCAUGCCACCAUAGAGUGCCUUCCUCAGUGGAAAGGAUGAUCUUCUGCGUAAACUUUGACCCUGGCUGAAUUGGGCAUUGUGUGAUAUACUCGGGACCAUCUGUCCAUGGAUAUCUAGGCAUGGUCACCCCAUGCCUGUGAAACCAUAACUAUACGUUAAAACUAGUACUAAUUUUCAAAGUAACAAAAGAUGACAUGCAACAAGCAUUGUAUUUCAAUGGAACUGAAGCAAAUAACCCUAAAGUAUUGUUUUAAAUUUGACCUUAUUUUCAAAGCAAUAUAUUGCAACCCCCUCUUAGAAAUAAAAGAAUGUAAGUCAUGUCUUUCUCUGAGACACGCACAAGACCUACCAGUGAAUGGUGACGUUUUCUUUUCCCCUGUUAUAAACAUCAACAAUGAUUGUCUCUCCUUUCUUAGCAUAUAUAGUUGGUCCUGGAAAUUGUCCAUUUACUGUUAACAUGUUCUUGGUACUACAAAGCCUUGUAUAUGAAGCUUCCUUCACCUGCAACCAAUUAAAAGUUAACCAUGCAACCUCAUCCCAAAAGAAAUAUUACAUGCAUGAAUAGUAGCAUCAAUACAUUCAUGUAAGUGUAUAACCAAUUAGAAAUUGAUAGCAUGCAUGAACAACUUAAUGACACCCAUAGCAUGCAUGAACGACUCAAUAACAGUAGGGUAAGGGGUCAUAUCGUAGAAAAUGAGAGCUAUGCUUCUCCCUAAAUAUCAUAAUUAGAAGGUGGCAUUAAGACUAGAAUCAUAUAUAAUAUUUACCACAAAAGUAAGCCGACGGAUUGAAGCUUGACAAUGGAUGCCGCCACCAAAAAGUAGAAACACCAAAAUUUGUAAGAGGAAAACCUUCAUGAUCAGCCACAUCUUUUUUGGAAUAAAAGCCUCGUCUCUUAUCCUAAACACAACUCCUUCAAUUUUCUUCCUAUUUUGCUGUAAUUCUUUCAUAUAUGAUUCAUUAUAUAGUCAUGAUAGUACUCUCGGGAUACAAUACUUCCUCUCCACGUGUCAAUAUAAGAGGAAGUGGUUCGACUACGUAUUGGUUUUCAACGUUCUUCCUCUCCUUCAAAAUAAUUAAUUAUGAUAUUUCUUACAAGUUACCUACACAUUAUUUUAGAAUAAAUUAAAAUAUUCUUUCACAUUCUUUCACAAGUCUAUUACUGAUUAUUUCAAGAAAUGUUAAUUAAUUAAAUAUAUGUAAAAUACUUUUAAAGCUUUGACCUCCCAGCUGAGUACCCUUAUCAAGAUUAGUAUAUUUUUCAUUGACAACUACUUUUAGGAAUUAUUUUUAGCAAACCCUUAUUAUUAGUCUUACUUGUUUUCGUGUUACUUAGGACAAUUAAUAGUGCAGAAUAUAUCGAUGACUUUGGUGGUUGGGGCAAAAGUUGUUUUCAUCUUGUUACUUAAAUACAAUUAGUCAUGAUCUUUGUUUUCGUCUGAACGGGACAAAGUUGUUUCCCAAUUUUUUUGAUUAAAAAGACAUCAUGAUGAAUUAAUUUGGUAUUCCAGAAAUUUCCAUAAAAAAUAUACAAAAAUAUAUUUUUUAAAAAGUUGAAAAUAGAAUACCAACAACCCCUUGUGAAUCACUUAAAAUUAUCUAUUGGGAAUUUGGGACUCGUACUAUCUUUUUUCUCAACAAAAACCGAUUUAAAAAAACAUUUUUCAAAACAAAUGCAAUCUAUAAUUUAUUUGUUCAUAUGAAUGUACAUCUUGAUUAAAAUGGUUUUAGCUGACUUACAAAAACUACUAUCUAAAAAAAGAAAAAUAAAAUAAAAUAAGAAAUAAUUCAAACUUCCUUGCUUGGUUUAUUGUAUCAUGUACAAAGAAAAAUCAUUAUAUAAAUAAAUUAUGGAAAGAUUUAUAUGUUUUUAAAUUAUUUAUAAACAGAAAAAAUGGUGAAUAAAUCUUAAGACUGUAAAAAUGUGAUGAAGUUAACUUAAACUCUUUUUAUUUUUUCACCUUCUUUCUCACAUUUCUUUUUAAACUUUUUGAAUAAAUUCCCAACUAUUUGUGGAUACAUAUUUAUGCAAUAUUUUGAAUGUAUAUUUUUCCCCUUACAAGAAACUUUUCUUGAAAAUGAAGAUUAUUUUUGCCUUAUUUUCAAAAUUGUGUUUCAUUUUUUUAAAUGUGAAAAUUACUAUUUUGAUUUCUAAACAAUGAACCAUUUUUAAAAUAUAUUUUAGAAAAUAAUUUUUCAGAUAUAUUAAUUGUGACACUCAAAGAUUAAAGACACCAUGGUCAUUUCACUUGUCCAACCCAAGAGUUCAACACAUGAAUCACCUUAACUAAUAAAUACAACAAGUAAUUGGUUGACAACUUCCUCAAAUUGAUUCAUAACAAUGAUUAUAGCAUAAAUAAAAAAAAAAUAUAAAUUUUUAACCAAAAACUAAUUAAAAAUAUCUAAAUAAUAAUAAAUUCAAAGAUCAUCCCAAACACUUUAAAGAGUUUUAGAAAUCAAUACUAAAUUCAAUCUUGAUUCAACUGAGAAUUUGGGUUUUUGGGCCAAAACAGGCUUUGUUUAUCAAUGGGCCACAUGCCCAUUCACGACCCAAUCCAACAUAGAAACCAAUCAGGAUACAAGCAAAAUGAGGUUUUUAAAGUAAUUUUUAUUUCCUUGCUCUUCCGAUGUGGGACAGUGCGUUUACGCUCCUAGAGCUUGAACCUUGGACCAAGGGUUCAAGGUAAGCAUUGUUGCACCAACCUAUUGCCAAUUGGUUUGUGCCAAGGAUUGUAAAAAAAUAAUAAAAGCGUCUCAAAUAUCUAAUAUUUUUUUAAUUUAUUUAAUAAACUUUAAAAUAUUAAUAUGUUUAUAUAAAAGAUAAAAAAAAAAAUACUAUUGAUUUUUAAUUUUAUCUAUAUUUAUAAUUUUUUUAAAUUAUUUUUAAUUUUAAUAAAAUAUAAAUUAUAUAUUUAUGAUGUCAUCGGUUCAACCGCGGUUCAACCACCAGUUCGACUACUAAAUCGUGAACCAGUAACUUUUCCGGUUCGCUGAUUGGUCCGGUUCUGAAAACAUUGAUUUCCCCUCAUUAAUAUCACUUGUACCCAAUGUUUGAAAUAUCAAUAAAUACGAAUAUAUUGGUAUUUGGAUUUUAUGGAUAUAUCGAAAAUAUUGGAGAAAUAUCGAUGAAUAUUUUAACAAAAAUACCCAUAAGAAAAAAAUGAUUUAAAAUUAAAUAUUUGGAAAAACUAAAAAAAAAAAUGAUAAAAUAAAUAAAAAUACACAUGUUAAAGUUACUUUUUAAGUGCAAUUGAUAUAGGUAUGGUUAAAGAGAAAAAUAUUAGUAAACAAAGGUAUGUAAUUUAUUAUUUAUCUAAUCAAAUUAAUUUUAAUUGAUAAAAUAUUUGAACUUAAUUAUUAUUAUUAUUAUUUUUAUAUUUUAGUAUAUUUUAAUAAAUUUAUAUUUUACAUAUUUUAAAAUAAAAACAUUCAAAUUAAAAGAAUAAAUAUAAAAAAUUUAAAAGUGAAGUGAUAGUAAUUUUUUAAAAUAAGAUUAAUAAGAUAAUGAUAAUAUAUUUAAUAUUAAAACUAUAAUUUAUUUAAUUCAAAUGCAUUUAAUAAUAUAAAAUAAAUGAUGCCGCAUAUAUGAAUUUUUAAUAUUUAUAUAUUUUUAUAUUUAAUUACCAUAUAAAUGAUAUUUUAAAAAAUACUUGUUAAGUGAAUAAUGGUUGUUUUUAUAUAUUUAUUUAUUUAUUAAUUAAAUUUUAAAAUAACAUAAUUAGAAUUAAUUUUUUUUGGUAAUGAACUUUAACAUAUUUAUUAUAGAUAUAUAUUAACAAAAGAGAAGAUGACCCAAUGGUAACUAAGGAAAAUAAAUAGAGUGAACUUAAAACUUAGGGAAUAAGUAGGAGUUCAUUUAAUUCAAUAAUUAAAUUCACUGUCGUGUUGCCCAUGACAAGCAAAAUUUUGCCGAAAUAGAGUGAACUUAAAAAUUAGGAAAAUAAGUAGGAGUUCAUUUAAUUCAAUAAUUAAAUUCACUUUCUUCAAAAAAUUACGCACUUUCAAUUUAAAGAUAAGCGAAAUUUCACCGAAAUAGAGUGAACUUAAAACUUAGGAAAAUAAGUAGGAGUUCAUUUAAUUCAAUAAUUAAAAUCACUUUCUUCAAAAAAUUACGCACUUUCAAUUUAAAGAUAGAACUAAAUAAUAUACUUUGCAUACUUAAAUUAUAUUAAUAAAAAAUUAUAAACAAACAUUUUACUCUGACUUAUUAACAUAAUAUUGUAAUGUCGAUAAACAUUGACAUUUUAGCUAAUCAGUAUGGAAUGUCAUGUCGACCUUGUCCAAUAAGAAAAAUUUUUCCAAAAUAGAGAGAACUUAAAACUUAGGAAAAUAAGUAGGAGUUCAUUUAAUUCAAUAAGUAAAUUCGCUUUCUUUAAAAGAUUACACACUUUCAAUUUAAAGAUAGAACUAAAUAAUAGACUUUGCAUACUUAAAUUAUAUUAAAAAAAUUAUAAACAAACAUUUUACUUUGACUCAUUAACAUUGUGCAUUGACUUUUAUUAUUUAGUAAAAAAAAAAAAAAAAACUCUCAAAUAUUUUAAAAAUAAAAAAUAAAAAUAUUUAUUUCAAACCAUGUAUAGUUUGAGUUUUUUUUCUUUUUCUUUUUUAUAAUGAAAAUAAAAAUAAUUUUAAGCUAUUGUAUAGUUAUUAUUAUCAAUUUUAUUUUCCAUUCUCAUUCUCUUUAUUACCUAACAUUGAAAUGGAAACAAACAUUCAUUUUGACUUUACAAUCCUCUCUGCUUUCAAACAUAAGAAUUGGAAUGGACAGAUUUAUUACUAAUCAAGGAAAACUAGGAAUCAAAAUAAAGGUCUUGUUUGGUAAUUGCUUUUGAAAAACAAUUUUUGAGAAUUUGUUUUUCUAAAAUUGUUCAAUAUCUUGUAAAAAAAAUAAAUGUCUAUUUGGGAACUUGAAAUGUUUUUAACCAGCUUUUAUAUUUUUACAUAUGUUUUAAAAAUAAUUUUUAUUUGUAGUGCUUUAUUUUUUUUAUCAUUCCCCAUAUUUGUAUAAUUAUUUUUAAAAUAGCCCUAAAAAAAUAACUUAAAAUAAUUUUAAAAAUGUUAUCUAAAAACAUCCUAUUAAUAGUUUUUAAAAGCAAAAAUCUAAUUUCUAUUUUUUUGUUGUCAAACAUGGUUUCCUGUUUUUUUGUUCUAAAGAAUAGGAAAUUGUUUUAAAAAAUGGUUACCAAAAAGAUCUAUUCAUUCUCAUUCCCCAUUCCCAUUUACCAAACAUGACCUUAGUGACUUAUAUUUUAGUCAGUUUUAUAUUGAUUUACAAAGAAAAAUCAUGCUUCAACUAAAUGCAUAUGAACUAAUAUUAGAAAAAUUAAUUUUAGUAGGGUUGAAAGAAAAUAAGUUAAUAUUAAGUAGUUGAACAUUGCUCAGUUGAGAAGUGUUCCUAAAUUUCAAAAGUAAUAUUUAUAGGAAAACUUCGGAUUACCUUUUUGGAAUACCCAAGAUUCGAAAAAAACAAUUGUUUUUACCAUUUAUUCUUUACCCUAAGUCAUAAAUGGAAUCACACUAAAAUCGAGAAUCACUUUGUUCCACAACACAAAGUCUUUCAUCUUCUUUUUUAGAAAACUUUUCUUCCUGAGUUCUCUCAGUCUUUCUUUUCCAAAGAAAAGUCUAUUAGGGUGAUUUUUGGGCAAUUUCUAGUAGUUUUAACUCCUAGAAACUGCUCCACCCUUGAUCUCUUAUUUGGUUGGAUCGGGUUGGGUCACCUUGACUUGAGCAUCCACCCAACUCCAACAAUAUUUAAGUAUUUAAUAAAGUAAAUGAUUGAAUUACUAUGAACAAGUAUAAUGAUCAAAACAAAAAUUUUACUCUUUGUUGUUUUAAUAUUAAAUCCAACCUCUAAUUGAACAAAUCAUUUACCAUUUUAAAAAUAUUCUUAAUAUCUUCAUUUUCAUUUUGUGUUUUUGAAAGUUCAUUUUUAUUUUAACUAGAUCAAAUAAUAUUUGCAUAAUAAUGCCUUUAAUCUACAUUUUUUAUGAGUAAUACCAAAUAAACAUCUCAACAAAUAUUAUAUGAGAUGAUCAUUAAUUUCACUAUCUUCUUUUUAUUUAUGUUAUUCUUCCUUAUCAAGUGGAUUUAAUUAUGUGUUGCAAAAUGAACAAGGACCUCUAUAGUUAUAAUCUCACCUAAAAAGUUGGGAAGUAUUGUGUGACUCACGUUUAAAAAAAAAAAAAAAAACUAAAUGGGUGGUUACCAAUAUGCACAUUUACCAGGAGUUAUAGCAUUUUUUUUUCUAGUGGUUCAGAUGGAAACAAUUUGAAAAAGAAAAAGAGAGUGCUAAGAGACACAAGGGUUAGAAUUGUUUUUCUUAAGGAUAAAAAACUAUUAAUGUUGUAUGGUGAGAUGUGUGCAUAAAAGCUCGAUUCAUAUAAGAGCUUUGAGGGAGUAAUUUUCUAGUGAUAGUGCAUCAUCCAAGUCCUCUUCCUUUCAUGGAUGUAGAUCAAUUUGAUCAAAGUACAUAAAUGAUUGUGUAAGUUUUCUUUUAUUGCACUAUUGAUUGAAUUCUUGUUAGUUUCCGCAUAUCGCAUCUUGUUAUUUUUUUUUGGGCAAGAAAGUUUAACAAGUGAUAUCAAAGCGGGGUUCGAUUAAGGCAGUUUAAGAUCUAGACGAUCUUAGAAUUUCUCAUCAAAUUUGAAGAAAUUUUCAAAAUGGCGACAUCCAAAUUGGAGAUAGAGAAGUUUGAUGGGAAAUGUGAUUUUAAUUUGUGGAAAAUGAAGGUGCAGGCUUUGCUUAGAAAUCUAGGUCUUAAUGAGGCAAUUAUAGAUACAAAAAAGAUGACAACUACAAUUACAUCAGAAAUCUUGAAGAAAGCAAAGAACACAAUAAUUUUGAGUCUCGGUGAUUUAAGAUUGAGGAAAGUGUCAAGGGAAAGUUCAACCUCUGCAAUUUGGAAGAAAUUGGAGGAGAUCUAUGUGGUAAAAUCACUUCCUAAAAAAAUUUAUCUUAAAUAGAAGUUCGUUGGUUUUAAGAUGCAUGAAGGGAAGUCGAUAGAUGAGAAUAUAGAUGAAUUUACUAAGCCUAUUCUUGAUCUUGAAAGUCUGGGUGUUAAGAUAGAAGAUAAAGACCAAGCAAUGAUACUUUUAAAUUCAUUACCAAAGAUGUUUGAUCAAUUGAGAGGCACUCUGAAAUAUAGCAAAGAUUCAUUAUCAUUAGAAGGUGUAGUAAGUGAAAUUCAUGAAAAGUAGAUGGACAUGAGGGCUGAAGGAAUAGAUACAACCUCUGGUGAAGGUCUUGUUGUACGUGGUAGACCAGAAAAGAGAAACAACAACCAGAAAGGAAAUCAUGGCAGAUCCAAGUCAAAGUCAAAGUUUAGAAGGAAAUGUUUCCAUUGUCACAAGGAAUGACACUACAAACAUGAAUGUCCAGAGAGAAAAUCGAAGAAAAAGAAUCAAGAUAGUGAAUCUGUAGAUGUGGCAAUAACUUUUGAGUCUAGGUGAUCAGGUAUUGAGGAAAGUGUCAAGGGAAAGUUCAGUCUCUACAAUUUGGAAGAAAUUGGAGGAGAUCUAUAUGGUAAGAUCACUUCCUAAUAGAAUUUAUCUUAAACAGAAUUUCUUUGGUUUUAAGAUGCAUGAAGGGAAGUUGAUAGAUGAGAAUAUAGAUGAAUUUACUAAGCUUGUUCUUGAUCUUGAAAGUCUAGGUGUUAAGAUAGAAGAUGAGCCAAACAAUGAUACUUUUAAACUCAUUACCAAAAGUGUUUGGUCAGUUGAGAGACACUUUAAAAUAUAGCAAAGAUUCAUUAUCUUUGGAAGAUGUAGUAAGUGCAAUUCAUACAAAGGAGAUGGACAUGAGGGUUAAAGGAAUAGACACAACCUCUGGUGAAGGUCUUGUUGUACGUGGUAAACCAAAAAAGAGAAACAACAACUAGAAAGGAAAUCAUGGCAAAUCCAAGUCAAAGUCAAAGUUUAAAAGGAAAUGUUUCCAUUGUCACAGGGAAGGAUACUACAAACAUGAAUGUCUAGAGAGAAAACCGAAGAAAAAGAAUCAAGAUGGUGAAUCUAUAGAUGUGGCAAUAGCUUUUGAAGGCUAUGAUACUGCUGAUGUACUCAUGGUGGAUGAAAAGGAUUUGACCAGUGAAUGGAUUUUGGAUUUGGGCUGUACAUUUCACAUGUGUCCUAUAAAAUCUUGGUUCUCUAGCUACAUGGAACUCAAUGAAGGGAAAGUUCACAUGGGUAAUAAUGAGGCUUGCAAGGUGUUUGGAAUUGGCUUAAUUAAACUCAGAUUACAUGAAGGUAUGGAAAGAACGUUAACUAAUGUGAGGUAUGUUCUAGACUUAAAAAGAAACUUGAUUUCUUUGGGUAUGCUAGACUUAAUGGGUUGUACAAUAAAAAUUGAGAAUGGAACAUUGAAUAUUUUAAAAGGUGCAAUGAUAAUGAUGAAAGGGCUCAGAAAAAAUGGCUUGUACAAUCUACAAGGUGAAAUAGUAGUUGGAACUUCAAUAGUAGUUGCAAAAGAUGGAAAUGAAACAGCAAAGCUUUUACACAUGAGACUUGGUCAUGUGAGUGAGAAAGGGCUGCAAAUCUUGAGUCAACAAGGGUUGCUUGGGAAAGAAAAACAACCGAGUCUUAGUUUUUGUGAGCAGUGUAUAUUGAGGAAGAAAACCAAAGUGAAGUUCAAUUUGAGUCGACAUACUACAAAAUGAAUGCUAGAGUAUGUGCACUCAAAUCUUUAGGAACCUACUAUAACUCAAUCCUUAAAUGGUGCCAGGUAUUUUUUUGACAUUUGUUGAUGAUUUCAAUAGAAAAGUAUGGGUUUUUAUAUUGAAAUCAAAUGAUGAAACUUUUGAGAAGUUUAAACAAUGGAAAGUAAUGACAGAAAAUCAAACUGGUAGAAAUUUAAAGUAUUUAAGGACAUAUAAUGGACUUGAGUUUUGUGGAGAGAAAUUCUCUAAUUUUUGUAGGAACCAAGGAAUUGUAAGGCAUAGAACGAUGAAAAGUAUGCCUCGGAAAAUGGACUGGCAGAGAUGAUGAAUUGUAUUAUUCUUGAAAGGGUAAGAUGCAUGUUGAUAAAUGCAAGACUACCUAUAAAGUUUUGGGCGAAAGUUGUCUAUACAGCAUGUCACUUGAUUAACAUAUGCCCUUCAAGUGACAUAAAUUUUAGAACACCUCUAGAAGUAUGGAUAAGUAAACCAGGGAGUUACCAACACCUUAGAGUGUUUAAGUCAACAACAUAUGCACUUGUAAAUGACGGAAAGUUGCAACUAAGAGCAAAUAAAUGUUUAUUUCUUGGAUAUCCUAUUGGAGUGAAGGGGUACAAGUCGUGAUCUCCUAAUUUGAGGAAAACAAUAAUUAGUAGAGAUGUCACUUUCAAAGAAGAUGAAUUGUUGGGUUUGGAAGAAAAAACAAGUGGUGAAGCUAUGGAUUAUGAUGUGAAAUAGUUGGAGGAGUUUCAAGUGGAGGAAUCAUAAGGAACAAAAAUUGGAACUAAGAAAACAAGUGGAGUCCAACAAAAUGAAUCAACUAGCGGUGGUCAACAUCAUGAAUCAACAACUCAGGGUGAACCAACUUACAGUUGUCAACAACAACAUGAGUCAACAGUUCAGGAUCAACAUUUGCAAGUUUAUGUACUUUUCAAGGAUAGAUUAAGGCGUGAGAUCAGAUUGCCUCAUAAAUUUGCACAAGCUAAUGUUGUUGCUUAUUCAUUGUAGACAACAAAUGAGAUAAUGGGUGAAGAUCUCAUUAGUUACUCACAAGCAAUGAAAAGUAAGGAGUCAAGUUAAUGGUAUGAAACAAUGGCUGAGGAGAUGAAUUCACUUCAAAAAAAUAGAACUUGCGAAUUAGUCAGAAAACCAAAGAACACAAAAGUCAUGGGGUGCAAAUGGAUAUAUAAGAAGAAGACUGGUAUUCCUACAGUAGAACCCGAGAGAUUCAAAGCAUGUUUAGUGGCAAAGGGGUACUCACAAAGAGAAGGUAUUGACUACCAAGAAAUUUUCUUCCCAGUGGUAAGACACACUUCAAUUAGAAUGUUGUUAGCGAUUACAACUACAGGUGAUUAUGAGUUGGAACAAAUGGAUGUAAAGAUGCCAUUUUUACAUGGAAAUAUUGAUGAGAAAAUACCGAUGGAACAACCAGAGGGUUUCAAAACAAAAGGAAAGGAAGACCAUGUGUGUUUGCUUAAGAAGUCGUUAUAUGACUUGAAACAAACACCUAGACAAUGGUACAAGUGUUUUGAUAGUUUAAUGGUUGAAAACAAGUUUAGUAGAAGUCAAUAUGAUAGUUGUGUAUACUAUCAACAAUUGAAAAAUGGGAAUUACAUCUAUUUGUUGUUGUAUGUUGAUGAUAUGUUGCUGAUAUGCAAGGACAUGGAGGAAAUCAAUAGGUUAAAAUUACUCUUGAACUCACAAUUUUUGACAUGAAAGAUCUAGGAUUGGCUAAAAAGAUUCUAGGAAUGGAGAUCAAGAGAGACUGAUCACAAAGAAAGCUAUGAUUGCUACAAACAGAUUACAUUGAGAGGGUUCUAGAGAGGUUUGACAUGAAAAAGGCUAAAUCAGUGGUGGCUCCAAUGGAAUCUAAUUUGAAGUUAAGUUUAGUUGAUGCACCAGAAACUGAAGAAGAUAAGCAGUACAUGUCUACGGUACCAUACACAUAUGUAGUGGGAUCCUUAAUGUAUGCUAUGGUUUAUACUCAUCCAGACUUGCAUAUUUUGUUAGUAUGGUUAGUAGAUACAUGAGCAAUCCAAGGAAAUUCCAUUGGCAAGUAGUCAAGAAGAUAUUGAGAUAUCUUAGAGGGACUAGUAAACUUGGAUUACUUUAUGGAGAUGGUUUAGCUGAAAGUGGAGUUGUAAAAGGUUUUGUGGAUUUAGACUUUGGUGGAAAUGUGGAUAAGAGAAAAUCAUUGACUGGAUAUGUGUUUACAGCUUGGGGAAGUGUAAUAAGCUGGAAGGCAAACCUACAGUCAAUUGUGACUUUUUCUUCCAUAGAGAUAAAAUACAUAGCUACAACUAAAGUUGUGAAAGAAAGCUUAUGGCUUAAGGGAAUGAUCAAUGAGUUAGGAAUUAAUCAAAAGGUUGUGGUUAUACACUGUGAUAGCCAAAGUGCUCUACACUUGAUGAAGAAUCAUGUAUAUCAUGAGAGAACUAAACAUAUUGAUGUUCGAAUGCACUUUAUUCGGGACAUACUUGCUUAAGGAUUUGUUGUGAUGAAGAUCUAUACAAAAAACAAUGCAGCUGAUAUGUUGACAAAAGUUCUUCCUUCAAACAAAUUCAGGCUUUAUUUGAGCCUGAUUGGAGUAGUUCAAGAGUAGAAAAAGCAUGUGGAAGGGACUUGAAGGUUUAUGGAUGCACUAAACUUAAGUCAAGUUGGAGAAUUGUUGUGCAACUCACGUUUGAAAAAAAAAACUGAAUGGGUGGUUACCAAUAUGCACAUUUACUAGGAGUUAUAACAUUUUUUUCUUUGGUGGUUUAGAGGGGAACAAUUUGAAAAAGAAAAAAAGAGUGCUAAGAGAGACAAGUGUGGACUCGCAUUUUUCACGUGCGUUCCCACGUAAUCAAUGAAACUCGCUAUUAUUGGUGAAAAAUUAGUUUUGGAAAAGUCGGAGUCACCACUUAUUUUAUUUUAUUUUAAAAGGAAAAAUAAAACAAGAAAGAAAACCCUAAAAAAGUGACUCCAUAGUUUUUGGAAAAACGUGUCUUUAAAAAACCCGAGUCUAGGUCCGGAGAUCAGGUUACCUAUUGGGAAGGUACCUCUAAAAGGUAGCACCCCUCUAAACCCUACAGAGGUCUCUACUGACUAAGUUGAGGGAAAUGUGACAAUUAAUUGGUUGAUUAUAGAUACCUAGGUAGGCUAGGUGAUUUAAAAAAUAGCAUGCUUAUCAAGAAAACCAAUCACAAUCAUAAAGAAGAUUCAGGGUGUGUACCUGGACGCCUUCUUAAGUGCUAUCACAAGACAUCAAUGGUUAGUUUGGAAAAUAAAACACACAGUAUUUUACCCUAGUCUCUUAAUCAAACAUGGCAAACUAAACAAACAAUCAAAAAGAUAUGUUGAGCAGGUUAAGAGUCGCAUACGAAGCAAUACAUAACAAUCAUGUGUAAAGCAAUACAUAAUUUAUGGAAUUAAGAUACGAAGGUAAGAAGCGUACCUGAAUAGCAUAAGUAACUUGUAACGUUCUUCCACAAGGCAUGAGGGGUUAGAUAAUAAAUAAUAAAAUAAAGAAAUCCUAGCAUGCUUGUUAUCUAAUUAGCAUAGCAAAAAUGAUCAAAGUAUACGAAAUAAUCAAUUAUCGCAUACAUCUUGUAUAUAAUUCCUAAAAAAUAUAUAGAUAUGAUUACAACAAGUAGCAAGGGUGGUGGCAAAGCUGAGUUUUGAAAAGAUUCUUUUAUGUUGGGGUUCCAUCAAGUCCCCAUUCAAUAUACAUAAGUUUACCUGUGUAUCCCCAUUAAUUUGGGAGCACAAGUCCAAACCUAUGUGAAUAAAAACCAAAUUAAAACCAACAAAGGAGAAAUGCAACUUAAAUGAAAUGAGUUACAUAAUUUGAAUAGAAAGUGUGUUCUUUGCCUAAAGCUAGAAUGAAUGUUUUCUAAAAUCUUUUAUCGGUGAUUUAAAUGCUUUUGAAAAUGACUUUAAGGGAAGUAAAAAAAAAAGACCCAAUGAUUUGCUAAAUCCUAAUCAAUUGACACAAAAUAGAGAUUUUUGAUUUCUAACUUAAGAGGGUUUUGAAAAUAAGAGAAAAACUAAAUUGGAUCCUCUUUUUGGCUACCUUUCAUUAGGGGUCAAGGAGCCAUACUUAUGAUGGAAAAAUUCAUUUUUGAAAAAAACAAAGUUUGACUCAACACAAAAUAUCAAUUUAACAAAAAACAUUUUCUAAAAGAAUGUUCAAACUCAAGAAUUCCAUAAGGUGUCUAUAAAAUAAGUAUCAAAGAUAAAGAUAACAUUCAGUCACAUAUAACAUCCCAUAUAACGCUCAAUGAAUUUUUCAAGAGGUAUCUACCAUGUGAAUUUAAUCAAACUAAAACUCAGUAAAUUUUUAAAAGUCAUCUAACAUGUGAAUUAAACAAAUGGAUACUCAAUAAGUUUUUAAAAGGGAUCAAACAUGUAAACUUAAAGAAACUAAUACUCAAUGAAAAUUUAAAAACUCAAACUCAAACUAACCGCAUUAUUUAUCAAAAACUAAAAUCCAAAUUAGCAUCAACAACUAUUUGAAAACUAAAGUCCAUUAUUCAUCAAAACCAAUACAGCAAACUACAUUCGUACUUAUCGAAACUAAAAUCCAAACUAAUUAAAAUGGAUGAAAACAGGUUUAAAAAAAAUAAAAAAUAAAAACUUUAGCAUAAAAGCAAUUUUACCAAUGGAUUGAAAUAAUAAGAAAUAAAAAAACUAAACCGAAGGGACAAAUUUAAACUAAAAUAAAACGAGUUUAAGAAUGUGAACUUACCUUUCAGAUCAAUGCAUGGGGGCUGUUUCGAAGUCCAAAGGUGUAGGUUGUUUUCUUUUAUGUGGGUUGUGCGUGUUCCUAAGAGAGAAUCUAAAGUGGUGCGACUUUGUGUGCCUUUAUGCUCUCAAAGUGGCCACCGAUCCCAUGUGUGGUGGAGAACGAAGAUCUCACCCUCUUGUCACGGUAGCCUGCUGUGUCUUCCAAAUAUGUAGCUGCGUGCUCUCCAAAACUGCAGCCCGCAAAGUCUUAAAAAAUUUCGGUGGCUCCUAAGUGAUCAGCUUUGAUGCCUUAUCAAUUGAUGCCUCUCAUGGUGCGUGGUGGAAGUGGGUGCAACCCAUGGAAAGUACACCUAGGUAGCCUCCAAAAUACAUGAUGCAGUGUGGUGUUUCUAUUUAAAAUAGGUGCAGUCGUGAAUGACAUCCACAAUGGAAAUCCGUCAAGGCGGCAUGGCAUGUGCGUGUAAGUCUUGGAGAAUUCCAAUUUGCUGCGUGUGGACUAACUUCCUCCAAUGAUACGUGUUCCCAAAAGAUUUCCAAGUGUUCUAUACAAUAUGCAAUCAUGUUGGGAACCAUUCCCCAUGGUGUGUGCUUUGUUGAUUUCUAUAUGCAUUCCCAUGGUGUGGGUGGAUAUCCCCCAAACUAAAGAUUACGUCCUCCUCCCUAAUUGUAUUAUGUCCUCCCCAAAGUUCUAGAGACUUGCCUCUAAAAAUUAUGAUCAUUCUUUCAUUCCUUCAAAAAUUCAAAUCUAUCCACUAACAACCACCUCUCUAAAACCUUAUCAUCCUCUUCUCUUCAAAAUUCGUGAGUCUCCUCUUUUUGAAGUGAAAUGGGCAUCCCUAGUAACAAUCCCAAUGAAAUUAACAUCAAUCCUUCUGAAAAGAGUAGUGGAGUGGAAUGUAGGCAGCUUGCAAAUUUCCUUAGCAACUGAUCUAAAUUCAUGUAUUUGCAGUCCAUCCAAGUGACCAUAGAAAAUUUGAUUGAUCCUAAACAAACAUUGCUCAUUUAAUUCAUUUGGAGGUGGGCGACCAUUUUGAAAGUAAAACUGAGGUAUCAAUUCUCUAAUAGGCUCACUAGCUAAUUUCAGAGGAGAACUUAAAUUAAAAGGGCCAAUCCUCUGUUUUACAACACGAGGAGAACCAGAUAUACUUCUUGGUGACAGUGGAAGUGCACUACCAGCGGGAAACAUGGAAGAUAAUGAGUUGCUUGCAGCAGCAUUUGUCGUAGAAGAAUUUCUAGGGAUAUUCAAGGCCUUUGCAUCAUUCAGCAAUGAAGUCACCAGACGGUUAGUCUCAGGAAGCAAAAGUCACUAGUCAAAAAGCUUCUCAGAGACCCUAGGGUUUGACUUGAGAGCAAAAGGCGACACCUUCGGGAGUUGCAACAAUUCGACGUCCAAAGACACCACAUCGCCAACUAUUUCCAUAUUCAUCGUAGCCAAAUUGAAUCUCUCAUCCAUAUAACAAAAUUAGAAUAAUCCUAUAUCAUAAAACAGGACAACAAACAAGCUCGAUCACCCAAAGCAACCUAGAUGAACCACAAGGCCAUUGUUCAACGCAUUGAAUCAAGGACAUUAAAAAUAAAAAAUUCGAGGCGAAAAGGUUCAGAUUUGAAGUUGACGAAGUGGAAAAAACCCUAGAUUUUCAUGAAGCAGGGAAUGGAUUGUCGCUGGAUCAGAUUGAAGCUGAAAGACAAACAUGUUUAUGUGAAAGAACGAAGGGCAUAUAUGUGAAUCUCGGAGCAUAGUCUCCUUGGUCACGUGCUAGGAAUGUCACACGUCCACUACGCCCUUGGCUCAUUUUAGUUUCCAUCCCUUCCUCUAUUAUUCAUAUCAAUACCAGUAACAACAUUUUGAGCAUCCAAUCUUUCCUCCAUCACUAGCAAAAGGCCAUCCUUUAGAGAUAUCUGUCUCUCAUUUUCUCACCAAAACCAUAAAAAAUCCUCCUGCUUUCCUCCUGUGUCUUCCUCUCUGCAUCACUGUUCAUUUGUCUUUUUCCUGUAGCUUUACCAACAUGGAAAGAUCCCUCACCAGUUCGGAGAGAACCAACAAUGUCAUUUGCGUCCGCCCAACACGAUCCGAACUUUUUUUUUCUUUUCUUAAAAGAGCCCUCAUUCAUCCACAUGCACACCAAAUCUUUCCUUUUUCACAUGUCAUGCAACUUUGGUAAUUUUCUGUUUCAGAAAAAAAUGACAUCCGUCCCUGUCCUUCCAUGCUAGUGGGAUGAUGUGAUUGCACCUUUUACGGUAGUCAUGACUGUAUUUUCCUUUCUUCCCUUAUGGGUGGUGCUUCCUAUGGUUAGUGGCAGCCACAUAUCUUCAGCUCAAAUUCUCCAUGAAUCAGCCCGCAUCAUCCUUGAACUUCCUCCUAUAUCCAAUUGUCACUCCCAAUGUAUGCAUUCUGAAUAUUCCACCAAGAUGCAGCCCCACAUGAUUUCCUUCAAUCUUUCCAUUGGUGGACUUACCUACAAAAAAAAAAAAUUUAAACAAAAUUAUUAAAUUAACAUUGAUAAGUAAGGACAAGUAUUAUAGUAACAUUGAUAAGCAAGGACAAGUAUUACGAAAAAGUGACAAAAUAAUAGGAAAAUAAAAUAAAAGAAGAAAUAAACAAGACAAUAAAUAAAAUAAACAAAAAUAAAAUAAUGAAAAGUCAAGUCAUGCAACUUUAUAAUAAAUGAGCCAUGCAAGCCAUACAAAAAAUGCAAUCCAUACCAACCAUGCAAGCCUAAUGGGCCAAGUGCAUCUAAAUGGGCCUAGGGUGCCUAAGUGGGCCUAAGGUGGUGCCUAAUGGGCCAAGUGUAUCUAAAUGGAUAUAAAGUGCCUAAGUGGUGUCUAAUGGGCCAAGUGUAUCUAAAUGGGUCUAGGGUGUCUAAGUAGGCCUAAAGUGGUGCCCAAUGGGCCAAGUGUAUCUAAAUGGGUCUAGGGUGCCUAAGUAGGCCUAAAGUGGUACCCAAUGGGCCAAGUGUAUCUAAAUGGGCUUAGGGUGCUUAAGUGAGCCUAAGUCUAAAUUAGGGUUGCUAAGAGUCACAAUGGGGUUAGAUAAAUCCCUCAACCAAAGUUCCCAAGGUGGCUUAGAAAAGAUAGGCUACAUGAGUAGUAAUGGGCCACUAGGUAAUUGCUGUAAAGUACCGAACAAAUAUCGAAUAGGACAUGUGUUAAGAGGACAAAAUGGAGGGUCUACAACAAGGAUUAGAAUUGUUUUUCUUAGAGAGAUAUAUGUUAAUGUUGUAUGGUAAGGUGUGUGCAUAAAAGCUCAAUUCAUAUAAGAGCUUUGAGGGUGCAAUUUUUUAGUGAUAUUGCAUCAUCCAAGUCCCUUUCUCUUGAUGGAUAUAGAUCAAUUUGAUCGAACCAUGUAAAUGAUUGUGUAUAAUUUCUUUUACUGCACUACUGAUUGAAUUCUUGUUAGUUUCCGCAUAUUGCAUCUUGUUAUUUUUUUUUUUCUGUAAGAAAGUUUAACAGGAAGCUAUCUCUACAUAUAUGGUUCAUGUAUCAAAUAAAUUGUUUUUGUACUUCCAUCAUCAAAGAUGCAUGUAUGUCAAAGAAUGGCAAAAGAAUCUAUAAGGUUAGGAAAACAAUGAAAUUUUUUUUAUGUUUUUUUUAUUCAUUUAAUUUAUUUUUUCUAUUCUAUAUAAAAAUUCAAUAUAUAUAACUCUUUAACUAAUUUUAAUUAUAUUUUUCUUUCAUAUUUUCUAUCAAAAUUUUUUAAAAAAAAACAUUGUUUUUAAUAUUUCAACUAUAACAAGGUGGGCAUAAUUAAUUUAUCAUGCUAGGGUAUCCUAACAACCUAACCUUAAAAUUUUCUUAAAUAAAUAAUCACAUCACUAGUCAUAUAUUUUCUUAUUCCACCAUAUUGUGAUUGGCACCAUAGUAUUUGUUAUACUUCGAAGCAUUUUGGUAUGGUUGUCAUCUCAUAAUAAGUCAUUUUUGAAGCAAACCCAACAUGCUUGAUAGAAAUCCCUCUUGCUAAAUGAAUCCCAAGGUCUCUUAUUUGUGAGUGUUGGCACAUUAAAUUAUAUAGUUUAAGAUUAAUAAUUUUGUUUCAUUUAUUUUGAUUCAAGGCUUUUUUAGAUUAUGUCUCGCUCUCCUUUGAAAACUCGAAGUUGUCGUGUGGUCGAUUGGAAUAACAAAGGCAAGCAUAGAAAGGUAUGAGAAAGGUAAAUUAGAGUUUGUUAAGGUUGUUGCGAACGUCAAGUUCUUAAACUGAGUUAAAUAUUUUUUAUAACAGUUUUAAAGAACUCCUCGAGUGCUCUAGUGCUGCAGAGAGCACUUAAGUGCUCCUUGGAGCACUCAAGUGUGAUAGAAUUCUCUAGAAUUCCAAAGCUGAAGAGGAAAAUUAUAAAUCUGAUCCACCAAGAUCUUGACCCUAUAAACACCUUACUUAAAGAGGAUUUUCUCUUUUUGAUGCAAAUGUUUCAAAAAACCUAAUUUGCCUUCUUGUUCCCAAAACUUUGAACAAUGAUUGUCUUCGCUUUUACUAGGUUGAGAAAGAGAUUUGCAUCUCCAAAACACUAAAGUAAGAUUCACUAGGAGCACAAGCGGUGUUGUAUUACAAAUGCGAAGUAGUAGAGGUGAUGGGGGGUAAGACUUAGGGAUGGCUUCCACUAGAUAAAACUGUGUACUAUGCUUUCGAAUAGUGGAUUUGUAAUUAGAUGUCUCUAACCCCAUGGAUUUUACAUCUGCAUGUUGUGUGAGUGGUUUUUUUUCAUGUAAAAAAUCUUGUGUUCUUGUAUUGAAUAUUUUUAGGCUUUCCUAAAUCAAAUGGAUUAAUUUAAAAUAAUUAAUUUUUGAGCCUAAGAGGUUCAAACACCUAUUCACCCCUUCUAGAUGUUACCUAAACUAGAUCAACUAACUUUCAACGAGGAAAGCUCAAAUCAUAGAAUUUGCACUUUCAGCCAACGCAGCUAGGCUUAGACAAAUUGAAGAGUAAAUAUCCUUUCAAAUCAACCGACUAGCCUUUCAUCCAUGGAGGCCUUCUCCAAUUUAAAGAUCAUGAAAACCUCUCAAAGCAUUUCUAAAGAAAAAUAAGAGCAUUGGCUCACCCUAAGGGUUCCUUGGAGAGGCUUUGAUCUUAAUCUUCUCCAUGAGUUUUUGAAAGGGUCUUUAACAACUGCUAUUGGAUUGGAUGGAGCACUUAUAUGAACUAAGAAUGAUAAAUAUUAUAACUACUCAAAAGACAUUUUCACAGAAUUGCCAACCUGCAGAUCAUUUUUAGUUAACCAAAUCUUAAAACAUUAGUCACAUCCAUGGCCAAAAUUAAGUGAAGGCUAAACACAGAUAGAAGAGAAUCAUGGGACACUCUCCUUAGCUCUACCAAGCUAGCUAACAACCUUGAACAGAAUAUUGGUCGAGCAGUCCAUGACUACUAUUAAGGGAAAAACCUAUAAAAAAAUAUGAAGAUCAAGAAGCAUAAAAAGAAAAUAUAGGCUAAAAUAAAAUGGUUCAAUUUGGGAAUCAACUGCUAUGCAAUAUAUGACUAAAUUUUCAGCUAGAUUCUUACGAGUUGUAACCCCUAAAAGCAUCAAAUGCAGAAGAAAAACCAUGCAAAAGAGAAACCAGUAAGACAAUAACAAUAUGAUAGUUUCAUCUCUACCUUUCGAGUUUGAGCAUCUUGUGCUGAUGCAUCCUCUCAAUGUAGAAGUGGUUUGCUUCAUUAUAUCAGUAUUGUAAAAAGAAGAGGUGUAAGCUCACUGUAAUCUUUAAUAGUGAAGAAACUUGAAUUCUCAUCGGUAGUGCUGCACUGAAAUUCUGGUUGAUUGUCUUCUUUCUCAUCUUGUUCAUAUAGUAGAUGAACCCCACACUUCUUCACCUCAUAAGAUGGGCCAUAGACUUGGAAUGAAGCCUGAAUUUGACUCAGUUUAUUUAGCCAAUUGGCGUGGCCAAUCCCAAUUCGAGAAAUUGGUUUAUACCCAAACCACAUGUGAUCUGAUUUAAUCAAUUUGCGCCCUUUAUCCGAAGAAUUCCGGUGUUCUGGAUUGAUGGGAGCAAAAAAGUGACCAGUUUUACCUUGAGUCAAAUUCAAAUGACAAAAUAUAUUACCAGGGCAAUCAUGGACUGCACCCUUAACUACAAAAAUAGCGCACACAGCCAAUGCCAUCAACCUAGUGUCACACCAAUUUGGAGGCAGAUGUACUGUUACUGUGGAGCCUAUACUCUGUUGGCUGAACCACUGAGGAAUUCGACUUCCAGGAACAAAAGUACUGAAGUAUAUGGUACCAUCUGGGUCAUGAAAAUCUUUGUCAAGUUAUAUGGAAAUAAUGUAGAAGUAAUGCUAAAAGGAGUAUAAGAAUUAUUCCAUAGGAUUUAAUUGAUUUACUUCUACAACAUGAUCAAGAGAGAGAGGAGAGAAACCUGGAUUGGGAAUUGAAAUCUUGGUAAUUUAUUUGCCAGACUUUGCAUUUCCCUUAAUAUAGCUGCCACAAAGUUGCUGCUUUCAUUCUCAGACAGUCUGAAGCAAUUAGAAAAUGUGAAUCGGAGGCCCCCACAUUCCUUGGAUCUGUAUAGACACUUGAUGGACACAAAAUGUUUUCCAGAACCGUGCAAUCAUGGGCAUCUAUUUCUUCUAUACUUGAUGGAAGCUCUGGUAAUGAUUGAAGCCUCUUGCAAUAACCCAACCUAAGGCCUUUGAGCUGUGAAAGUUGAUGAGGCUUGCAGGUAGAGUAACAAAAUUGUUUCCGCUCAGAUCUAACUAUUCCAAUGAGCACAGAGAGCUAAAGUCAUUGGAAAUUGCUCGUUCCGAUAUGUUGCAAUCACUUAGAUUUAACUUUCUUAGGGAUCUUAAACCAGAGAAAGAAGGCAGUUGCAAACCCCCAGAGUGUGGAAUUUCUGCGGGCAACAACUGGAAAAAGAGGAGUGAAUUCCUUGGCUUGAAUUCUAGUCCUUUACAUCCCUUAAAUGAUAAUACUUCAAGGUUUUCCAAAAGAGAAAUAGAGGGUGGCAGCUCUUUUAUAGCAGUUCCUGCUGCUUUGAGCUUCUCUAAACCUUGUAGGCUCCCCAAACCCUCUGGCAAAUUGUCUAGUUUUGAGAAACCAGAUAGAAUAAGAGUUUGAAGGGAUUUCAAUGUACAAAUGCUGUGGAAGAAUUGCAAGGCUUUUGCAUUCUCUCAGAUUCAACAGAACAAGUCCACUUAGAUGUUGGAUUGAUGAAGGUAGUUCUUUUAUAGCAGUUCCAUCUAAGAAAAGUUCCAACAAACUCCACAUAUUUUCCAAGACCUCUGGAAGCUCUCUGAGUUUUAAGCAAUCUGAGAGAAUAAGAAUUUCAAGGGAUCUCAACUUAUAAAUACAGCUUGAUAAUGACUCAAGGUUUUGACGGUUCCUCAGAUUUAAUAGAACAAGUCUAGUAAGAUAUUCAAUCGACAAGGGCAAUCCUUUUAUUCCAGUGCCCUCCAAGGAAAGCUCUGAUAAAUGUUUCAUGCACCCUUGGACCUCUGGAAAUUUCUUGAGUUUCGAGCACCUGGAGAGAGUAAGAAUUUCAAGAGAUUCCAUACAAAUGCUUCUUAGAAAACUCUUAAGGUUCUUGCAGCCUGCUAAUUUAAGGAAAACAACCUUGUUUAGAGCUCCAAUGGAUGGAUGAACCUUGGACAAACUUGUACAACCUUCAAGAAUUAGUCUCCUAAGGUUUAAAAAAGCAUGCAAUAUCGAGAGAUAUAUCUUUCUCUUUGUCAUCUAAUCCAUCAAAACCCAUUUUAAGCACAUUCUGAAUUUUUAUGUUGGGAAUUCUUUUUAGUUUGUCCAAUUCACUUUUCCAUUCAAGUAUGCUCUUGCUAUACAAAAAAGUACCCAAGACUUUAAGAGCUAAGGGAAGACCUUUACUAUAAUGUAUUAAUUUGUAGCAUAGCUGCAUAUAAUCUUCUCCAGGGUGGUUGUGUUUAAAGGCAUACUGACGAAAGAGUUGAAAAACUUCACUAUCCUCUAAUCCCCUAACUUCAUAAAUAGUGCUGACUCCAUGUGUAAUAAGCAAAUGCUUUUCUCUGUUUGUUAUAAUAAUUCUACCUCCUGAACCAAACCAGUCAUGGUUUCCUGCUAAAUAUUCCAACUGUUCCAAGUUAUCCACAUCAUCAAGAACAAUAAGAACCUUCUUAGAGUGGAGUCUAUCCUUUAUAAAAUUGAUUCUUGUAUUGGAAAUUUCUACAUUUGGAUUUCCAUCCUAUAAUGUUUUUGAGAGAAGUUCCAUUUGUAAAUGAUCCAGGCCAUGUUUUUGUGAGCCUUCUCUAACAUUUGCAAGAAAACAACAGCCUUCAAAUUGAGUGUAAAUUUGCUCAUAAAUAGCUCUAGCAAUAGUCGUCUUACCUAUGCCACCCAUGCCCAAAAUUCCUACACUUUGAACAUUAUCCAACCCCAUACAUAAUAGUGAAUCCAUUGCCUUUGUGUGGGAAUCCAUUCCAACCAGCCCUGCAGGAGGAUGUACCUAUCAAUUUAUUAGAUAUAUCUGAGACAAAUUCCUCAAUAAGUAUGGAUUCAUGCCUGCAAAUUUUGAGGAAGAAAAAAAAACCAAUCAUUUAAUGAAUUCAAGGAUCCAUUGAAAAAAAAAAAGAAAAAUUAGAUAAAUCAUCAGUGAUUUAGUCUUGUUCUUUGCAACUUAAAAGUCAUAUGGCAACAUUAUAUCUCAGAUUUUUUCGAGUUUAAGUGUAUGUGUGUGUGUGUAUGAGAGAGAGAGAGAGAGAGAGAGAGAGAGAGAGAGAACUGUAUUGCUAUCUAGACAAACAGACAAUCAAACUAGAUUAUAAUAGCAAGCAUCUGCCACACUUCCUAGUAGUCUGCAUAAGGAACUUCUUAGAAGUGAUCAGGAUAAAAUACUAGAAAAGCCAGUGGAAGCAUGUUUAAGACUGCAAUACCAUUGAUUGACAGUAGGAUCACUAAUUCCGAGUUAAGCAUAUUGGCAGGCAAAAAUUCUCUCCCAAAUGGUUGAAAAAAUUAGGGAAUCCAAAAGCUUUUAAAAUCAUGACUAUCCAAUUGGGUUGGGCACACUACAUAGGCAUGGAACAGAGCAUGCCAAGGGACCAUUGGAAAGGAUGAAAAAGCAUUAAUCCAGUAGGGUUGAGGUCAACUUACCAAUGGAAUAAAGCACACUAAGGGGAAAUAUGCUUAAAAUGAGGUAAAAAGUUUUACAGUGUAGUCAUAACAUUCUUGCUCAAUGUGAUAAGGACUGACCAAUGUGUAGCUUCAAACACCUUCUGCAGAAAGGAGGGAAAGGGUCAUUGAUAUUAUGGUCAAGUGAGUUGAAGUCACAAUUCAAUGAGGGUCGGGAAAAGUUCAAUGUGUUGGUGGAUUGGAUCCAAGUUAUUCCAUCUUCAUAAUUUUGAUCACAGCCAUGGAGAGAUUUCCUUGCAUAUGUGAGAUCAAGUGCAUCUAAACAUCAUUCAGUCAUAGGCAGCAAAAUACAACUUAAUCCAUACAUGGGUUUAAGUCAAUCAUCUUGGAUCAAUCUCUCUAUUGAUCAUCCUAUGAUUUCAAAUUUUAUAUGGCUAUGCAAGCUUUAAAGCUUCAGCAUCAUUACAUCAUACACCUAAAAGGCAAAGGAAAAAAAAAUUGCAGUUAAAAAUACCUAUCUCGAGAAUCCCAUCCAGAAAUUUUGGCAGCUUCAGUCAAAGCCUCUCUCCACUUGAUCACUUUCUCCAUCUGCUCCUUAUAAACCUCUUCAUGCUUAGCAAAUGCUUGUGCAAAACACCCUGUCUGUUUCCUCACAUGAGAGGGAUCCAAAUUGUAGAAAACUGGUAAAGCUGCGCGUCCCAUCACCUUGGUGCAGUCAAUAAUCUUGACAAGUUCCUCCAGACACCAAGUUGAAGAAGCAUAGUUUUCAGAGAAAAUGAUGAUGGAGAACCUGGACUCUUCAACUGCUUUUACAAGUGCUGGAGAGAUCUCUUGUCCUCUACCGAGCUGGUCAUCGAUGACAGUGUUGACUCCUCUUUGACACAAAGCUCUAUGAAGAUGGUCAAUGAAGCUUUUGCGGGUGUCUUCCCCUCUGAAACUCAGGAACACGUCUUACUUCCAUUGAUGUGUACAAGAUGAAGAUGAAGAAGCCAUUAAAUUGGAAAAUUGAUAGCUUAAUUGUGGGAUAGAAUUAUAAGUGAGUCAGAGAAUGAAUAAAGACUAAACUGAACUGAAGAGAAAAUUAUAUAUGGCUUGACAUGCAAAUAGCAAAUCACCAUGUGCCCAGAAGUUUCUUGUGAGCUGCCAUUGAAGUUUCGAUCUACUCUUUCAAUGAAGUGGUCAGACUUUUUUUGGGCCGCUUAGCUUUAUCGUUAGGAAAGUUCUUCACACCCAACUUUUACAUUUUUUACCACCUGUCGCUUGGACAUUGGAGGGAAGUUUUCCAAGUACGAAAAAUUGACCGAUAAUUCAACGUGAUCGACAAUGUUGUAAAUAUAUAAUAUAUAUUUUAUUAAAAUUUUAAAAAUUAAAAAUUUAUAACAUUUAUUUCUUCAGUUUUAUAUAAAUAUAUUAAUAUUUUAAAUUUUAUUAAACAAAAUAUCUAUAAUAUUUAAAUAUGAAAAUAUCUAUAUAAUCUUAUAUAUAUAUAUAUAUAUAUAUAUAUAUAUAUAUAUAUAUGUUUACUUAUAUUAUUUUUGAAAUAACAUAUGUAAUUUAUUUUUUGUUUUUAUAAUUUUUAACAUCAACAAAAGAGUAAUAGAGUGGUGCAACCUUGCUACUACGAACUUGUCGUCCAAACUUAUUUUCCUACAAAGAUCCCAUAUAGGAAAUAAUAGAGUGGUCCAAUAAAUAAACCCCUCAAAAAGAAGGAUAGGUCAUUUGGUUGUUGGAAAGAUUUAUGUAUUUUUAAAUUAUUUAUAAACAGAAAAAAUGAUGAAUAAAUUUUAAGACUUGUAAAUAUUUGAUCAAGUUAAUUUAAACUUUUUUUAUUUUUUCACUUUCUUUCUCCUAUUUUUUUUUUCUCACAUUUCCUUUUAAACUUUUGGAAUAAAUUCCUUACUAUUUGUGGAGUUUUAAUAUAAUUUUUUUUUUCUCUAUGAUACAUAUUUAUGCAAUGGUUAAAUUAUUUUGAAUGUAUAUUUUUACCUUAACAAGAAACUUUUCUUGAAUGAAGAUUAUUUUCACCUUAUUUUUAAAAUUGUGUUUAUAUUUUUUAAAUAUGAAAAUUACUAUUUUGAUUUCAAAACAAUGAGCCAUUUUUAAAAGAUAUUUUACAAAAUAGUUUUUCAGAUAUAUUAAUUGUGACACUCGAAGAUCAAAGACAGUCAGUUCACUUGUCAAACCUAAAGAGUCCAUCACAUGAAUGACCUUAACUAACAAUUCCAACAAGUAAUUAGUUGACAACUUCCUCAAAUUGAUUCAUAACAAUAAUUAGAGCAUAAAUAAAAUAAGAAAAAAAUUAUAAAUUUCUAACUCAUAACUAAUUAAAAAUAUUUGAAUAACAAAUUCAAAGAUCAUCCGCCAACACUUUGAAGAGUUUUAGAAAUCAAUACUAAAUUCAAUCUUAAUUUAAAGCUCCUAAAUAAUUAAUUGUAAAGCUAAUUUCAAAUGAAAUACUUUCUUAUCUCAAUUUCCCUUCAUUUAUAUCACUAGUACCUAAAAAGUGAAAUAAUAGAGAAGAGUGAACUUAAAACUUAGUUAGGAAAAAUAGUUCAAUAAGGAGGAUCAUGUAGAGUAUAAAGCUAAAUCCUGGGACAUAUCACAUGUUUAUAAAAAAAAAAAAAGAAAUGAUAAGUUGGAGUUCAUUUAAUUCAAUAAUUAAAUUCACAUAAAUUCACCCUUUUACAAAAAAAAAAAAAAAAAAAAAAAAGGCACUAGGAGUCCAAAUAGGCUAAGAGGCUUGAAUUGAACCUUGGCUACCACUUGGCUAAGAUGUUAUUUAUAAAUAUAUAUUUAAUUUAAAUAUCUUAAAGUUCAGUAUUUAAAAAAAUAAUUCUAAUUAUUUUAUUUUAAAUUUUAUUUAAUUGAUUAAUAAAAAUAUAAAAACCAACAUUAUGAUUUUUGUUAACAAGUCUUUUUUUAUAUCAUUUAUAUGAUAAUUAAAUAUAAAAAUAUAAAUAUUAAAAAAUCAUAUAUGUAUCAUCAUUUAAUUUACAUUAUUAAACACAUUUAAAUUAAAUAAAUUAUAAUUUUAAUAUUAAAUGUAUUAUCAUUUAUCUCAUCAAUUCUAUUUUAAAAAAAUAACUAUCACUUCACUUUUAAAUUUUUUAUAUUUAUCCUUUUAAUUUUGCAUGUCUUUAUUUUAAAAUAUUAAAAAUAUAAAUUGAUUAAAAAAAACUAAAAUGUAUAAAAAAAAAUUAAUAAUGAAGUUUUAAUAUUUUAUAAAUUAAAAUUAAUUUGAUAAGAUAAAUAAUAAAUUAUAUAUUCAAAUCGAUAUAACUUUGCUUACGGAUAUUUUUCUCCUUAACUAUACCUAUGUUAAUUACGCUUAUAAAAUAUUUUAACAUGUGCAUUUUUACUUAUUUUAUCAUUUUUUUUGAGUUUUUCCAAAUAUUUGCAUAAAUUUUGAAUAAAUAAUUUUCACCUCAUCAAAAUUAUUGUCAAAAUAUCUAUCGAUAUUCUGAUAUAUCCGUAAACUUUAAGUACCAAUGUUUACCGAUAUUUCGAAUGAUAUCUUCAAAACCAAUAUAAUAAAUUAAACGAUAAAAUUCACUUACAUAACAAUAAACAUAUCAUAUGAUAUUCCCAAUUUAUUUUAUAAACUAAGGAACAAAUCAUAACAUUUUUAGCAAAAUAUUAUUUGAUCCACUUUAGGGAAUUUAAACAUUUUGAUAGUUUAAAAAUAGAUAAAGACAAAUAAGGAAUUUCAAAAUGGCUUACCAUACCAUUAACCCCUACCUUGAAGAUAUCAUUCAAAAUCCCAAAAAACUUAAUCCACUCCUAAUAUAAAUAUAAAUAAAAAAUAAUUAUUAAAGACUAAUUAUCUAAAUUAAUGGCUUCCUAAAUUUUUUGUAAAACUUAUUUUAAUUCCAAACCCUCUUCUAAAAAUCUAUUUUUUUAAUUAAAUUUUUUAUUAACCAUAUUAUUAUUAUUAUUAUUAUCAUUUUUCACUUCCCAUAACUACAUUAAUGGGUUUUGUUUAAUUAUUAAUGUUAAUAUUCUUCUUCUUUUUUUUUCAUGGUAGGAAGUAGGAUAAUUAUUUAUUAAUUUACUACUAUUUUUACUUACCUCCUACCCAUAACCCAAAUCUUAUUAGUAGUUUAUUAUUUCUUUGCUACAACCACUUUCCUCGUUUCCUCAAUUCUUCUUCCUAUUAAUCUCAUGCUUAAAGAAAGAGAAAAGAAUUUAAAAAAUAAAUCAUAACUUACCUUAAAUUUCGUAAUGAAUCAAAUUAAAAAAGUUUCUUUUUUUCUAACCCUUCAAACCAAACUUCUCUAAAGGCCUUUCUAUUGUUUCUUUUCCCUCUCUAUUGCAUCUUUUCCGUAUUUAAUAAUGCGGAGAAAUCAAAAUGAUAUAAAGUUUGGAUUUCCCAAGAUCCAAAAAAAUAGUUGUUUCACUAUUUAAUUCUUUAUCUUAAGGCAUGAAUGGAACCACAUGCACUAAAAUUGAGAAUCACUCUAUUUCACAGCAUAAAGUAUUUCAUCUUCUUUUUUUAGAUAACUUUUCUUCUCGAGUUCUUUCAGUCUUUCUUUUCCAGAGAAAAGUUUAUUGGGGUGAUUUUUUGGGCAAUUUCUAGUAGUUCCAACUCCUAGAAACUGCUCCACCCUUGAUCUUUUAUUUGGUUAGGUUGGGUUGGGUCACCUCGACUUGGGCACCCACCCAACUCCAACAAUAUUUAAGUAUUUAAUAAAGUAAAUGAUUGAAUUACUAUGAACAAGUAUAAUGAUCAAAACAAAAAUUUUACUUUUUUAUGUUUUAAUAUAAAAUCCAACCUCUAAUUGAACAAAUCAUUUACCAUUUAAAAAUAUUCUUAACAUCUUCAUUUUCUUUUUGUGUUUUUGAAAGUUCAUUUUUAUUUUAACUAGAUCAAAUAAUAUUUGUAUAAUAAUGCCUUUAACAUACAUUUUUUUAAUGAGUAAUACCAAAUAAACAUCUCAACAAAUAUUAUAUAAGAUGAUCAUUAAUUUCACUAUCUUCAUUUUAUUUAUGUUAUUCUUCUUUAUCCAAUAGAUUUAAUUAUGUGUUGUAAAAUGAACAAGGACCUCUAUAGUUAUAAUCUCACUUAAAAAGUUGGAGAAGUUAUCUCUACAUCUAUGAUUCAUGUGUGAAAUAAAUUGUUUUUGUACUUCCAUCAUCAAAGAUGCAUGUAUGUCUAAGAAUGGCAAAAGAAUCUAUGAGGUCAAGAAAAAAAUGAAAAAAAAUUGAUAUGUUUUUUUAAAAUUUAUUUCAUUUUUUUUCUAUUCUAUAUAAAAAUUCAGUAUAUAUAACUUUUUAACUAAUUUUAAUUAUAUUUUUCUUUCAUAUUUUAUAUAAUAAAUAAAAAAAGACAUUUUUUAAUAUUUCAACUAUAACAAGGUGGGCAUAAUUAAUUUAUAAUGCUAGGAUAUUGUAACAACCUAGCCUUAAAAUUUUCUUAAAUAAAUAAUCACUUCACUAGUUAUAUAUUUUCUUAUUCCAUCAUUUGUGAUUGACACCAUAGUAUUUGUUAUACUUUGAAGUAUUUUGGUAUUAUUCUUAUCUCAUAAUAAUUCGUUUUUGAAGCAAACCCAACAUGCUUUAUAGAAAUCCUCUUCCUAAAUGAACCCCAAGGUUUUUUAUUUGUGAGUGUUGGUACAUUAAGUUAUAUAGUUUAAGAUUGAUAAUUUUGUUUCAUUCAUUUUGACUUGGGGCUUUUUUAGAUUAUGUCUUGCUCUCCUUUGAAAACUCGAAGUUGUUGUGUGAUCAACUGGAAUAACAAAGGUAAGUAUUGAAAGGUCUAGAAAUUAGUUAAGGUUGGCACGAACGUCAAGUUCUUAAACCAAGUUAAAUGUUUUUUAAAACAAUUUUAAAGAACUAAUUUGAAUUAAAUGUUUUUUAAAACUGUUUUAAAGAAUUGCUACACUUUCCACUAGAUAAAACUGUGUACUAUACUUUCAAACAAUGGAUUUGUAAUUGGAUGUCUCUAACCCCAUGGAUUUUACAUCUGCAUGUUGUGUGACUAGUUUUCCCUAUAAAAAAUCUUGCGUUCUUGUAUUGAAUAUUUUUAGCUUUCCUAAGUCAAACAGAUUAAUUUAAAAUUGUUGGAAAGUUUGAAGUUUGAAAUUUGAAUUAUUCAAAUAUUUGUUGAUUUGAAUAAGUCAUCGAAGGCUACUAAGAUUAGAAGAUAAUUUAUUUGUUUUUAAAUCUUAUCAAAUUAGGAGUUAUUUAUUCAAAUAAGGAUUGAAUAUCCACCAAAUGUUUUCUAUUUUUUUCUACUCUGGCUUCAAAAAUAAUUAUUUUUUGAGCCUAAUAGGUUCAAACACCUAUUCACCCUCUCUAGAUGUUACCUAAACUAGAUAAACCAACUUUUAAUGAGGAAAACUCAAAUUACAGAAUUUGCACUUUCAGCCAACGUAGUAAGGCUUAGACAAAUUGAAGAGUAAAUAUCCUUUCAAAUCAACCAACUAGCCUUUCAUCCAUGGAUGCCUUCUCCAAUUUAAAGAUCAUGAAAACCUCUCAAAUCAUUUCUAAAGAAAAAUAAGAGCAUUGGCUCGCCCUUUCCUUGGAGAGGCUUUGAUCUUAAUCUUCUCCAUGAGUUGUUGAAAGGGUCUUUAACAACUGCGAUUGGACUGGAUGGAGCACUUAUAUGAACUAAAAAUGAUAAAUAUAUAACUACUCAAAAGAGAUUUUCACAGAAUUGCCAACCUGCAAAUCAUUUUUAGUUAACCAGAUCUCAAAACAUUAGUCACAUCCAUGGCCAAAAUUAAGUGAAGGCUCAGCAUAAAAAAUAUGAAGAACAAGAAGCAUAAAAAGUAAAAUGUAGGCUAAAAUAAAAUGUCUUAUAUGAGCAGCUCCAAAUGAUAGCUACUUUGAACCAAUUUACCUCUAAAUAUGGUUUCUAAUUUAACUAAAGUCACAUCUUCAAAAUGAGAUUUUAAAAUUUGAACAGAGAUAUUUAUUUAUUUUAUUGGAGUUGGAUUUGAAUGUUUGAAUUGACCCAAUUCCAUAAAUUAUUAUUUAUAUAUUUUAUUGGAGUUGAAUUUAAAUGUUUGGAUUAACCCAAUUCAAUAAAUAAUUAUUUAUUGGGUUUGUGUUUGGGUACCCAAAUGGACUAAGCCAACCUAAUAAAGAUAAGGGAAAAGUUUUUGGGAACUUUAGACUGUUGAGAUAUUAGGAAUGUUUAAAUAUUAGGAAAGUUGAGAUAUUAAGAAUAUUGAGAUAUUAGGAAAGUUGAGAUAUUAGGAUAUUAGUUGUUAUUUCUUUAUAUCAUUCUUUCCUUGUAUCAUUCCUUCCCAUUCUUAGAAUGGUGAUUACCCUCUAUAUAUACUCUGUACAUGAACGAAUGAAAGUAUGAAUGGAAAAAACUAUCAUUUAUCAAUUUGAAGAUGAUAUCAGAGCCAUGGAACUGAAAUCUUGGAUAUUUUGUCGCUAUGGUAGUCCAACAAUGAUCAUCCAUCCUAAGACAAGCCCUAAUAUUGAUAAGUCAACCUUCAAAUGCACUCACUACAAUAAGAUUGAUCCCACCAAUCUGGAUAUCCCACAAUUUCAAAGCAACGACUCUUGGUAUGAUUAGGAAAACAAUGAGGAACCGAGGGUUUGAACCAUGGACCUUUAGAUCAUGUUUAGGCUAUCAACAUUUUGUUAUUAAUGAUAAUAAUCGUGAUCAACGGAAGAAGGAUUCCAAGAAAACCUCGAUUGCAACUGUUGUCGAAAUAAAAACAGAGGCUAAUGUUGUUGAGAAAGCCUUUACAUUGGUAGCCGCUACAGAUCAUGGUGGUAAGUUUUUAAAUACUUUUACACCUGUUAUUAAUAGUGCAUGGAUAAUUGAUUCUGGUGCUACAGAUCAUAUGAAUUUUGAUUCUAGACAGGUUUCACCCCUUAGACCUUCUUCACAAAAAAUUGUUUCCACAGCCAAUGGUAACACAACCCCAGUCAUUGGGGAAGGAUCCUUAACUCUUACUGAUACUUUGAAUUUGGAUUCUAUUUUAGUUGUUCCAUCUUUAGAUUACAAUAUUUUGUCAGUUUCUCAAAUCACCGCAGCCUUAUCUUGUAUUGUCAUUUUUUGGCCUGAAUUUUGUGUGAUUAAGGACAUCCAAACAAGACAGACGAUUGGUUGUGGUAUUAAGCGGGGAAAACUCUAUUACUUGGACUUACAGUCAAAGGAUUCAAAUAAGUUGCAACAAGCCUUGAUGGUAGAUGGAUCUGAGGGGGAGAAGAAAAAGUCUGAAAUUUGGUUGUGGCAUCGACGUCUGGGACAUGCUUCCUUUGGUUAUUUAAAAAAAUUGUUUCCUAGUUUGUUUGCAAAGAGUGAUAUUUCUGGUUUCCAUUGUGAUAUUUGUGAAUUGGCUAAAAUCCAUCGUGUUUCGUUUCCGUUAAUUUUGAACAAAAGUCCGUUUCCUUUUAUGGUUAUACAUUUUGAUGUUUGGGGCCCAUCCAAAGUCCCAACUUUGAGUGGCUCACAUUGGUUUGUUACUUUUAUUGAUGAUUGUACCAGAAUGACAUGGUUAUGCUUGAUGAAGAACAAAGAUGAAGUGAACUUGUUGUUUAAAAAAUUUCAUAAAAUGAUUGAAACUCAGUACAAUGCAAAGGUUCGGGUUCUGCGUAGUGAUAAUGGUGGAGAAUAUCAAAGUUUUGAUCUUCAAAAGUAUUUGGAAGGACAUGGCAUCAUUCAUCAGACUACUUGUUCCAAUACACCCUAGCAAAAUGGAGUCGCUGAACGGAAAAAUCGGCACUUGUUAGAGGUUGUUCAUGCUUCCUUGAUAGCAACAAAAACACCAAUAUCUUAUUGGGGAGAAGCAAUCACAUCUGCCGCAUACUUGAUCAAUCGGGUACCUUCCAACUCAAUUAACUUCCAAACACCUCUCCAAGCUCUUACUAAUGCCGUAGUUGCCCCAACUGUCCCAAAUCUACCUCCUCGUGUUUUUGGUUGUGUGGCAUUUGUGCAUCUACACAAACACCAACGCACCAAGUUAACNNNNNNNNNNNNNNNNNNNNNNNNNNNNNNNNNNNNNNNNNNNNNNNNNNNNNNNNNNNNNNNNNNNNNNNNNNNNNNNNNNNNNNNNNNNNNNNNNNNNUCAUACAAGACCAGAUCUUGCUUAUACAUUGAGUGUAGUGAGUCAAUACAUGCAUAAUCCUAGAGAGCAACAUAUGAAUGCAGUUAUGCGUAUUUUGAGGUAUUUGAAGAAUGCUCCUGGGAAGGGAAUUUUGUUCGCUAAAAAUGUUAAUCAUCAGAGUAUAGAAGUAUAUACUGAUGCUGAUUGGGCCGGUGCAGUGGAUGAUAGGCGAUCUACAUCUGGUUACUUUACCUUUGUAGGUGGUAAUCUUGUGACAUGGAAAAGUAAGAAGCAGAAUGUCGUCGCUCGUUCAAGUGUAGAAGUAGAAUUUAGAGGUAUGACUCUAGGACUUUGUGAGGCAUUAUGGCUAAGACUUCUCUUACAGGAUUUAAGUUACCUAUCUAGGCAACCAAUCCGAUUGUUUUGUGACAAUAAAGCCGCAUGUGACAUUGCUCAUAAUCCAGUACAACAUGAUCUUACAAAGCAUGUCGAGGUGGAUAGAUUCUUCAUUAAGGAAAAGUUGGAUGAUAAGAUUGUGGAAUUGCCUAAGAUUCGAUCAGAAGAUCAAUUGGCCGAUAUCCUCACCAAAGCUGUCUCAUGUCAAGUGUUCUCAAAAUUUUUAGACAAGUUGGGCAUGUGUGACAUCUAUGCACCAACUUGAGGGGGAGUGUUGAGAUAUUAGGAAUGUUUAAAUAUUAGGAAAGCUGAGAUAUUAAGAAUAUUGAGAUAUUAGGAAUAUUGAGAUAUUAGGAAAGUUGAGAUAUUAGGAUAUUAGUUGUUAUUUCCUUAUAUCAUUCUUUCCUUGUAUCAUUCCUUCCCAUUCUUAGAAUGAUGAUUACCCUCUAUAUAUACUCUGUACAUGAACGAAUGAAAGUAUGAAUGGAAAAAACUACCAUUUAUCAAUUUGAAGAUAAACUGCUCUAAAACUAUUACGAAAAUAUAAAUAGUGUGAAUCUCCAACUUUCUCCCGAUGAGAAAAUAGAAAAGAAAAUAAUUAUUCUUUCUAAGACAAAGUCCCUUCUGGAAUUUUUUUUUCCUAUUUUUUCUAUAAAAAUGAGAGUCAAGAUUUUUAUGCCAAGAAAAUAGAGUAAUUCUUAUAUUUGUAGUUUUAUUCUUAAAAAAUAAUCUGAAAUUGAGACUUUCAAGCAUUUUAAAAGAUAAUCUGAAAUUUCUUUCAAUAUAUAAGCCUUGUACGUGAUGUUGGUUGACUAUUAUGAUAGUAAAUUCGGGAGGAUGCUUGCAUGUAAAAAUUUCAUUUUAUUUUAUUUUUAAUCAUGGAGCACAUUUUAUGGAUUAUGAUUUAUAAUACUGCAUCAAUGGUCAUGAACAUUGCAAUUAUGAUUUUUUUUGAGAUGUUUAAAUGGACGUGGAAGAUAAGAAAUAGAUUUUCUAUUAAGAUAUUUGAAUGGAGAUGAAAGCAUGGGUAUAGGUUUGUACUAAGGAAAUGAACAUAUGAUUAAAAUAAACCUGAUACAGUUAGUCUAUAAGAAUGGAUCCUGUUUCUAACCUUUUAACACACAAAUUUGGAAACCUAAACCUAUGGAUUGUUUCUUUCCUAUAAUGGAAUCCUAUGUUCCUUCUCAAAGCAGCGCUGACUUUUCCCUUCCUACCAACUACAAAGAGAAAAUCUUGACUAAUCUCGAUAAAGGUUUAUUUUAUCUAUACAUGCGAGGUCAAAGUUUUAAAAGUAUUCUACAUAUAUUUUAAAUUUAUUCUAAAAUAAUGUGUUUGAUUAAUUUCUUGGUCAAUUCUCAAAGUCAAACUUGUAUUUUGAAUUGGAAAAUUCUAGAGAUUCUAAGAAACUCGUCUUCUACGAUACACAACCUGAUUGAAGCUGAGCUGUGAGAAAUUUUCACAAUUGUUAGCAUUCUUCAGGCAUUUGGUUUAUUUAAAUUUUGGUAAGUAAUCAAAUAUCAUACACAACCUGCUCUUUGAAGUGGUCCUGGAAGAACAUUCAAAACCAAUACACAUUCAAAUUACUUCGCUUAUAUUGAUACGCGGCGAGGAAUUGUUGAUACCCAAGCCACACGUGAUCUGAUUUAAUGAAUCUGUGCCUGUCAUCCGAAGAAUUCUGGAUUGAUGGGAGCAAAAAGGUGACCAGUUUUACCUUGAGUCAAAUUCAAAUGACAAAAUAUAUUACCAGGGCAAUCAUGGACAGCACCCUUAACUACAAAAAUAGCGCACACAGCCAAUCCCAUCAACCUAGUAUUACACCAAUUUGGAGGCUGAUGUACCGUUACUUUGGAGUCUAUACUCUGUUGGCUGAACCACUCAGGAAUUUAACUUCCAGGAACAAAAGUAUUGGAUUCAAUAUGUGGAGUAUAUGGUACCAUCCAGGUCAUGAAAAUCAAUGUCAAGUUAUAUGGAAAUAAUAUAGGAGUAGUGCUCAAAGGAGUAUAAGAAUUAUUCCAUAGGAUUUAAUUGAUUUACUUUUACAAUAUGAUCAAGAGAGAAAGGAGAGAAACCUGGAUUGGGAAUUGAAAUCUUGGUAAUUUAUUAGCCAGACUUUGCAUUUCCCUUAAUGUAGCUGCCACAAAGUUUAUUUUUUCAUUAAUAUAAAUUAAAUAAUUAAAAUACCUAAGUUUUUCAAAAUUUUUAAUCAUGGUAGUGGGCCUUUGAUUAACCAUAGAUAGCCCAUGCAUCAUUUUCCAAAGUGAAGCACAACAACCUUACAACAGUGAUGUCACAUAGCAAUUCAUUAUUCAUUAUUUUGUUUACCCUUUUCAAUGUGGAUUUUCUUAAAGCUAUUAAAAAAACACACAAUAUCAAGAUUUGAGCGUGGGUCUUUCACAAUAUCUUUUAUAUACUAAUAAUUAUAAAUUAAUUAAAAUGAAAUUAUUAUAAAUAAGCUAAUUUUAAUUAUCUUAUUAUGUCUCUUAUAAAGUGAUUAGAUAUAGGACAAAUAUAAAUUUAUAAAUAAAAUUAUUAACAUUUUCAAAUAAAAAAUAUAAAUAUAUAUCAAUUUUUUUUAUAUCCUUUAAUAUAUCUAAACUUAAUGCAUUAUCAUUUUAGUAUUAAUAUUUUCCAAUUCGGUAUAUUAUUGUCUAAGAUUACAAAUUUAUCAAUUUUUCUUAAAACAAUAUCAAUAUAAACAUUAUUAUUUUUCUAUCAUUUUUUGAGUUAUUUCCAACAUUUCAUGAGGUUUUAUCAAUUUCCAUCUCAUAUAUAUAUUUUAGAAUUUUCAUUGAUAUUUCUUUAUAUAUCUAUAAACUCCAACUAAUGAUAUAUCGGUAAAAAUCAAUAUUUUCAUUCUUAUUUAACAUAAGAAAGAAAAUUAUUCAAAUGGUGCAUAAAUUAAUGUGACCUCCUGAUGAGAAUGACAAUGACAACCAUGAGUCAUAAUUAGUGUAUGUGUGUGGUAAAUUAACUUAGUGUUUGAUAAAAUAAUUAUUUAUCAUCAUUUAAAAUUUAAAAAUAAAUUUAAAUAUUAAAUCAAAAUAAUUAACUUAUUCUAAAUACUAUUUUUUUUUUUAUUCUCUUUGUUCAUAUUUGGUGAUAACCAUGCUUUAUUUUUAGAAUUCUUUUUUUUUUUUUAGUAAAUAUUUUGUAGUUAUUUUGUAGCUUCACAAUAGUACUUUUUAAUAUAAAUGUUUAACAAGCUUAAGUUUAUGAAGAUAAAUAUUAAGAAAAAUUAAUGAGUUUAAAUAUAUCAAUAUAAUAACUUUUAAAAAAUUAAGUUGAUUUUACCAAAAUAAAAAUAAAAAUAAUUCAUCUUAAAAUUAAUUUCAAUAAUUAAGUAAUAAGGAUUAAGUUUUAUCAUACACUCUCUUAAUUAAUAAAUGACAUAACUUCUUUCAACAAAUUCUUCGUUCUACUUUUGAAAAAAAAAUAAUAAUAACGUGAUAUUUAUUUAUUUAUGUCUAAAAUUUAAAUAUACUUGAAUUUGACUUAAAUCUAAAUAUAGCUUAAUAUUAUUAAGUGUUCAGACUAUUUUUUUUAUUUGUGUCUAAAUAUUAUUAACUGUUAAAUUGUUUCUUUUUAUUAAUAUCAAAAUAUGUGAAGUGUUAAAUUUAUUUAUUUAUGGUUAAAAACAUUUAUAAAAGUAAUUGUUAUAUUUCUUCUUAUUUUAAUUUGAAAAGUUAUAAUUUAACAAAAUAGUAAUUUAAUUAACACAUCUAAAAAAUAUUAUAAUACAUUGUCAAAGUAAAAAUUUUAUAAUGAUAAUUAUGUAAUUAGUAAAUUAUAUUAUUGUACAAUCCAUUGUUCCAUGUCGUAUAAUAUAGAAUAGCUAUGCAUACCCAUCAGUGCAUAGACAUAUAUCUUUUGAUAAUCUAUCAUGAAUGUCACGUGGACUCUAAGUGAAGUAUGUAGCUAUUAUAGUAUAAAGAUGGCAUAGGAAGAGGCUCCGGGUUUACUAGUUCUCACUCAACCAUAGCAAUAGGGAAUAUAUUGCACAUUAUUUUCAUCUAAAAGAAAGGUAGAAAGACCUUAGAAAUGGAACUUUUAGAUAAAACCUAAGGGUGGCAAUGAGAUGAGUCUAAGAAGGAUCACUUCAAUCUCAAUCUUAUGUCAUUUAUUUAUAUUAAAUGGGGUGAGAUAAGACAAAAUUAUAUUCGAACCUGUCUUGAACUUGGUCCGAGGGCAAGAAGGGUCUUUACAAAAAUCAGCCUCAUUGUCAUUCUUAGGUACGCAUCUAUACCAAUGAAAGUUUUUACAUCUAUUAAAAAAUUUAAUGUUCCCGAUGUUAAUUAACUUCACCAGACUACAUACACUUCAUAAUCGUGAAAAAGUGUCAAAAUUCUCAACCAAUCAAUGACAUAAACUACAAUCAAGUUUAGUACAUCGGAACCCUAAAAUACCUCCAAACCCCAUUUCUUGUAAGACCCCCUUCUGAUUAGGUUGCAAAUGUUGAAGUACUUUAUACACCUAAUUAGGCGAACAACAAGUGUCAAGAUAAGACUGCAAGCCAUACAUAUACAUAUGCAUAUAAAUUUGAAAUUGAAAGAAAAUAUUAUGGGUCUUCAUAUUUGAAAUUUUAAAAAGAUAAAUUUCAAUUUUUUUUUUUUUUGUCUUUGAUACAUUUUUUGAGCUUGUACCAUUUUGUUUUACAUAUUCAUUGGAGUAUUUCUUCAUCAUGGGUCUUCAUCCAUUAGAGCACCAAGGAGAGCAAGUUCAUUGGCACGUGCUUUAAUGGUAUGUAGGAAGGUAGUGAUGCUUUGCAAACCCUUGGUGUGAUUCUUAAGGUGGUUGUUGACUUGUUUAAUGUAGACAUGUGAUAGUUUGACAUAGGUAUUGGUGAAGAUGAUCUAUGCUUCACGAAAGAUUGUGGCACAGGCAAUGAAUGGAAUUAUGGUGGGUGAAACGGAGCCAAUAAGUGUAUUUAGGAUCAAUUGAUCUUGACGAAGCAAGAAUAGGUUGGGUUGGGUAUUACAGUGUCGUUGGCAUAGUGGUGGGUGGACAAGGUUUGGUUCUAUCAAUAUAGCUAAGGCGGUCAAAGCCAAUAAAUAGUGUUUGGAAUUGAAAUCUUUAUGAUAUGUAGUUGGUAGUGGUUAGUUUAAGUAGGGCUCGAGCAAAAACAUUUAUUGAGAUGAGUAUUUGGUGUGACUCAUGGGUGUUGUGAAUAUUGAGAGUAGAAGUUACAGAAGUGGUGACAUCUUAGGUGGCCAUGAGGCUAUGAUGAUGGGGAGGAGCAUUAGAUGGCUUUGGCAUAGAAAAAGAGGUAAGAAGGAAGAACAAGUGGUGGUGAGGGUUUUCAGGUUAAGAAGCUUGAAUGCUCUGAUGUCAUAUUGAAGAAUGAGAUUGGUUAAUUAUUUUUCUAGGUUGAUUCUAUGUUGCUUAUAUGCAUGAUUCACCAAGGGUUUCUGACAAGCAUUAGCUAAGGGUGGCUGAACCCAAUGACAGACCAGAUGAAGGAUUAAUAAUAUAUUGCACUCCAGCAGUUCAACCAAUUCCUUUCGUUUCCUUAAUGACUUCUUUUGGUGACCUAUCAAUUUCUCUCUUGGAAAGUCUAGUAAUGGGUUGCCAAUUACCUAAAAGUUACUUCUGAGGUUUUGUUUUGUUGAUUCUAUGCUAACUGAUAAUCUGCAGAGGAAACAACUUGUUCGUCUGGAGAAGGUCUUGAAGCACUGUGAUGAAUUUGACCAGAAGAGUAAACUCAUCAAGUCCAUAUUAAGUCAUCAGGUUCCAGUAGAGCUAUUUCAAAAACUUCUUUAAUGCAUUAGCAUUUAAAAAUUGAACAAUAAAAUAACAUAUAUUAUUGAUACUAUCAUUUAAAACAAGAAAUAUAUUGUUGAUAAUGGCAUUUAAAACAAUAAAAUAGUGCAUUAGACCUGCAUUCAAAUCUUCAAUUCUCAAACACCACCAACCCACCCAUGAAUAGAGAAAGAGAAGAGAACCCUAGCAAAAGUAGAGAGCUUCAAUUCUCAAAUCUUCAAUUUUCUUUUUAUGUGUUCAAGUCAUUUUUAUUUGUUAAAUGAUUCCAGCUACUACUUGGGUCUAGUAUUUCCUUGGUGUAUAUAUCAUGCACUUCUCAGUAGAAUGCCCAUAGACAUGGAGAAACAAUUUUUUAUUUAUUUGCAAUGCCUAAUAUAAAAUUUAAUAAGCACCUAAUUUUUUAUUUCAGCUAUGAAUGGUAUUUUUCUCUAGAUCAUAAGUACGUUGGUUGAAUUUUAAAAAAUUUAUAUCAUUUCAGCCACUAAUUAAUAUCAUGCAAUAGAAAAACAAAGUUGAAAUUUGGGAUAAUAAAUAUCAUUAAAGUACAAAGAAAGUAACUUAUUGGGAGCAAAUUCUUCACAACCUGGCAUUGGCCUUUAGAUUAAAUAAUUUAUUAAUAAUCUCCUCUUUCUUUCUAAACUUAUACCGCUGUUUAUGAAAGUUUCUAAAAACCAAAGCCCAAAGCCUAGACUAUAAAAAGGAAAUAAUCACUUGGAGAGGGGUUGUUUGUUUUUCUUGAGAGCCUAAUAAAUGCAACGACAUAGACAGAAAGAGGCGGAAGAGUUGAGUCGGAGGAUCAAGAAACACAACCAUUCUUCUCUUUCAUUAGGGUUUUUGGCUGACUCUAAGGCCGUCUUACCUUCCUCUUAGAAUGAUGGCCUCUCGUUUCUAUACAUAUCCUUCCAUGCAUUUUCUGGCUCUCCCAUUCUCUUUUUCAAAGCUACAUCUUUCCUCAUAGACCCUGUUUGGUUUCUAAGAAAGUGGUCUAGGUCUCUUUCUUUUUCUUGAUUUAUCUUUGGUUUACAAGAAUCAGGAGUGAAGUAAAGUGGGUUCUUGAUUUAUGUUUGAUUUCUCUUUUUCAAACCUAUGUUUUGAUCUUUUCUCUCCAGCUCUUGUGGUCUAGGUCUAAUAUGCGUUGUGUUUUCUUUCUUUUUGUUUGGUUUUCCAAGAAAGUGAAGGAAAAGGAACUCUCUACUCUCUUUUUCUUGGUUCACCUUUGGCUUACACUCUUGGCACAUUCCACUUAGGAUUGUCCUCCUACAUCCUUUGAUGCUUUAGUGUGCAAUUGUGGUCAUUAACUGAGUUGUUUUUAAGCCCUUAUUGACGGUCCAUUGAGACAUUUUAGAGGGAUUAGGUGGAUCCCUAUCUUGAUUUUAGUGAUUUUUGAAUCUUAGUUCAGGACUUUGUUUUAAUUGAUUUAUAACAUAUUUAGGCUUGUUUAGAACUUUUAAAAUUCAUAAUUUUGAAUGUGCCAAAUACCCCCUUCCAUCAAUUCCAACUGCAGCAACUGCCAUUCAAAGAUGCUAGCCACAUAUUAAACCCAUGCAUGAACCCCCAGCCAGAUACCCAUUUUUUCCUCCAUCCAUCAACCACCUUCUUACUCCCACCACCGCCACUGCUCACCAUUCCCACUUCUCCUCCACCACCAUGGCCACCACCGCUUCCGGCUCUGUCUUCCUCCUUCUGCUCCUUGCCGCCGGCGAUGGCAGAGUCAUAAGCAACCGCACAUCGUCCACCGGCCUAGUCUCUGACGGCGUCCACGACCACCCCAAUGGUUUGCCUUAUCUUCUUCUCGGGUCUUUUUCCGCCGUCUCAGCCUCGGAUUCAUGCGAUCAUACAGCAAACCCAGAUAGAAAUCAAACCUCCACAACCCGCUCACCUUUUCCAUGCCGGUGAUGAUCAAGUGCGACAACAGCAGGUUCGGUUCUUCAAGUCUGGCACUCAAAAGAGAGAGGACAACUGGGUCAUCUCCCUCUUCGUGGUCCUCCACAUUGGGCCCUUCUUGCAUCGCCUUGGAUUUGAAACCGACCGGUUUAGAACCAUAACUCCUGCACGUGAGAGAGAUCACCAUGAGCCAUGCAAGGGAGCAUGCCAGUCACGUUCUCUAACUGCCAUGCAUCGGGAAUAUAAAGAUCACGCCAGAAAGAAUAAAGAGGGCCGUUCUAGAGACUUCGGAGGAGGAGAGAGGAAAGGAAAACUGACACAGAGAGUCUCUGUUUCUGGGCGUUUUUUGGAAGAGAGUUCAAAGAUCUUCUUUCUGUAGAAGAUCAUCACAUGCACCGAUUCAAAGAAUUUAGAGAGCUUCUCGUUAGAGUCAAGGUUCUCGUCAUUGUAGACCUUCAUGAACAUCUUCUUCACGGCAGCAUUGGCAUCCCGAUUCCUGAACCUCCAUGAUUGAUUGACCUCCAUCAUCUUCACGAUCGUGCACAAGUUCUGAAAGAAGAGACGUGAAUCUCUUCUUCGUCUUCACUCUCUAUACUUGUAUCUCGAAGGUUAUCCCGGUUUCUAUGUGCAUCGGAUCUCCAUAGAUGAACUCGGAUUUUGCAUUGAUCUGAAUCUCAAGCAUGCAUUAUUUCCAUAUUGUGCUGCCAAACUUGGUGUUUUUCUUCAUUUAUUCUUCACCACAACAGUUGGACAUAAAGGUUAGUCUCGAUGAAUCUUUACCAUUUGAAUUAGUUUAUUAAUGAUUUUUAAGUUAUUCAUUGAUAAAGUUAAGGCUAAGAGAUGAAAUUGGUUUGUUGAUUUUGAAACUCAGGGCUGUUUGUGACAUACUUUUAUCAAAAUUAGAGAAUGAAUAGAGGCUGACUAUGAUUACUAUAUCUAGAUAUAUGUUAUGGAAUAAUGGCAGUUGUAGUAAAUAAUACACAAUGGGUUACGGGAUGAUGUUGAUGCUUGUUGAUUUUUUUAAUAAAAGCUACAUAUAGAAAAGUAGAUGUAUAACCAGCCAUAAGUGUUUUUAGUGGCUCUUGAUGACAAGUUAUGGUGCCUUGUUCAUAUGUAUUAUUUUUUUCUUCAACAUGUUUAGUGUUGUCAUUUUAGUUCCAUAAAUGAACCUUGGGGCAAGGUUGGACAACUGAUGGCAACUAGGCAAGGCUAAAAGUCAAUUUUUGCUCGACCUUUUGGGCAUGGGCAGCAAUGUGUGGACCCCUCUUUAGCAUGAAAAUGGCUAGAACAUGUUAAGCUCUCUUAUUAGAUAAUGUGUUAACUAUAGGGCAAUCAUAGGAUGGGGAAUAUAUGGUAAUUAUGCAAAAAAAAAAAAAUUUGUAUCCAAUUAUAUAGAAAGACAUCUUCCAACAUUUAAUAUAAAUAUACAAAAAUUAAGAGAAAAAAAUUUAAAAAAACAUAUUAAACCGAAAAAUAGGGGCUUAAUAAUAAAAUCAAGUAAAAAGGUAAAAUUAAAACCAAGUAUUAAAUAUGAAUAUAGUUUAAAUAUUAAAAAUAUUAUUAUUUAGGUUUAAUCAUUGGGUUUGCUAGAGGAGUUUAUAUAUAUAUAUAUAUAUAUAUAUAUAUAUAUAUAUAUAUAUAUAUAUAUAUAUAUAUAUAUAUAUAUAUAUAUAUAUUAAUUUUUUCUUUUUUUAAUCCUAUCUAUGUUGUUGAUAUUAAUUCAUUGAAUUUAAUGUUACCUAAAACAAAAUUAUAUUUCAUGUCCUCUAUUAUAAGUGGAUAACCAUUCCUUAUGUUAUAUUUUAGAUAAAGAACGAAUAUUGAGGAUUGGAGUUGUAAGAAAUUAGGAGAGAAAUUAGGAGGUCCUAAUUUUAAAUAUGUAACAAAGUUCUAUAAUCACUCCAAUCCACGUUUAAAAAUUGUAUUUCUUUCUAAUAUGGGAUCAAACUUUUUCCUUCUUUCUUAUAAAUUUCAUUUGGGAAUGAUUUAAAAAUAAAUAAAUAAAAGCCCUUCUAAAUAUUAAAAAAACACUCUCUUAUAAAAUUUAAUUAGGUGGAUGGUAAGGUCAAAUUCGAGAUAGCUUCAUAUUUUUUGCUUUAACUGAAAAUUAAAAUUGAAAUUAAAGUAAAAAGUUUUAAGAUGUUGUAAAAGUUUUAUUAAACAUGAAAUAACUUAUUCUGUAAACAAAAAUAGAAUUAUAGAAUUCUUAUAAGAAAUAACAUUUUUAUGACUUCUAUAUGAAACUUUUUUUUUUUAAAAAAAUUAAAUAGGUAAAAAACUUUUAUUCAACUUAUUUUUUUUUAACUCUUAAAAGUCAAUCCAAAUAAAAUUUAAAUAUAUUUGAAAAUUAUUUUUAAAAAUCCAAAAAAUCACUUAAAAAUAAUUUCUGAACUUUUUUUAAUUUACAUUUAAAUACUAAGUGAUUCUUUUAAAAAUCAUUUAUAAUGUCAAAAUAUUUUUUUAUGGAUAAAAAUAUUACAAAUAAAAAACAUUUCAAUCACAAUUAAUUUAUUUUUAAUUCAUGAAAUUUCAUUUAUUGUUACUUAUUUUUUGGGAUUUAAUUCUUUACAAUUAUUUUUGAGUGUUUAUAUAGAAUAAUUAGGUUAUGCCCAAAUUUAUUCCUUUAACUCUAUCCAUCAGAUAUAAGUAGCGUGAAAUUUUGGCCUGUCUCCACCUUUCUUCGCUUCUGACAAUGGUCAAUGAAUAAUUUAUUAUAUUUUUUUCUUAAUUUAAUAGCAUUGGAAUGUCAGCUGGAACAAACCAUUUGAUGAUCUUUUUCAUAAGUAUCCAUUUAGAUCAUAGUCUAAUUUUAAAAUAUUAGAAUAAAUCAAUUAGUCUAAACUAUAUCAUUUAUAAUUUUUUAUUUAUUAAUAUGAUACCUAUCCUUCCACGGAAUUCAAAUAAAAUAUGGAUAAUUAAAAAAUGUCAACUAUCCAUGAUAUUUGAUACCAAACUUUUCUAAUACAACAUGAUAUCAUGUUGAAUGAAAUGGGAAUGACCAAAUAUUCUCAAAUCAAAGAUAUAUCUAUUGUGGACACGUCAAAUUCUCUUUUUAUAAUCAAAGACGUCCAUGGAAAAUUCCACCAUAGUAUAUCUCAAAGAUUAGUCAAAUUCCAUUAUCUUUAUAGACUUUUAACAAUCUAAGAAAUUGACAUUAAUAAUCCCAAACACAAUAUUCUGCAACUUUACAUUAUUCUUUUUAUCGUAAUUGAAGAGGAAUACCAACUUAGUCAAAUAGAAAAUAAAUCACGAAAGUUGAAUAAUACAAAUAUUCAGUGAAAUCUUUGGCAUGUUAUUUCUUUGCAGCUUCAACAUGGUGGCAUGUCGGAUGGAGGAGGCAGCAUUUGAGCUUUUGGGUGUUUUCCAUUUUUCACUAUGAACGCAGUUUCCAUGCCCCAAGUCACAUGGCGUUCUACAUGGUAGUGCAGGAACCACACUCCUACAACAGAGAAAAUAUAGUGACAUUACACCUAACUUAAUUGUAAUAUUAAAAAAAAAAAUUUAUUUCAUUGGUAUGCAGGUUGGCAGUUUCAAGGCAGAUGUAUAAACUUAUUUUGCUUCCGGAUCAUAGGAGGAUGUAAAACUAAUCAUGAGUUUCCUAAUCAAACUUUCAUGUGCCUUUUGGAUACUGAAUUUAACAUCUUCCAUGAUGGUAAGACUUGACAAAUUGUCGAUUGUUUGUGAUGUUUUUCAUUUGAUAGUUUACAUAUGUCAUGGCAUGACUUGGUGCAUAUUUAGACUUAGAGCUUUAGUUAGCUUUGUUUUUGUCCAUUAUUCGGUUUUCUUUUGAUAACAUGGUCCCAGGAUUUGUAGUCCUAUUUAGCUUUUAUAAUUGAAGAUAAGACAUUUUCAUCUUAUUGUUGAUGAGUGUAUCCUAAUGUAUGUCUUUGUUAGUACCACACCCUAAUUAUCCGACUUUUUUAUGUUUUAUGUUUUAUAUUAAUUUCAUGCCUCGACUAUCCGAACUCUUUUAUGUUUUCUUAAUGUCACGCCCUGACUAUUCGACCUCUUUUUGUCUCUAUUAGUGUCAUGCUCUGAUUGUCCAAAUUUUUCAUGUUUUUCUAGAGCUAUCUUGAUUGUCCAACUUUUCCAUGUUUUCCUAAAGUCGAGCUCUGACUGUCCAACUUCUUUUAUGUUUUCCUAGAUUAGCACUCUAAUUGUUGGGUUUUCUUUGUGUUUCCUCUAAUGUCCAUGCUCUGACUACCCGACCUCUUUUAAUUUUUAUUUUAUUAGCCUUAAGUUUUUUCUCUAAUCAUUAGUUUCUCUCUCUUUUCUUCUUCAUUCUCUUGUUCACCCAUUCAUUCCCCCCUUUGGAUAACAAGGUCCUUAGUGUUUCACAUAGAUAUUGUCACUACCCUAUUUAAAAGAGUCUCCCUUAAGAUCCACAUAGAUAUUGCAUGUUUCUCUACUAGUAGAUCAAUGAGCACAUUUCAUAACCUUAGAGAGCUUGUGUCUUAUUGGGACAAUUUUGGUGAUCUUUCUUGUACUUUAGUAGAGCUCACUUCGUUUAGUUGAUUUAUACACUUACUUCACUUGUGAACUCUUCUAAAAAUGGGCAUAUUUGUAGAUCCCAAAAUUUGCCCUAAGUCCAUUCUCACUUUUUAUUUUAUUUUAUUAUUUAUUUGAUUUAAUUUGAUUUUUACUUUAUUUUUUUUCUUUUUUUGUUCCUUUCUUGUUUUUCACCUUUUUUUUCCCCACACGUGCAACUGCAGAACCCUUCCUCUUCUUAUUUUUCCCUCUUCAAUUUCUUUUCUUUGCUUCUUUCUUUUUCCUUCCUUUUUGUUUUUCUUUCUUUUCUUUCCUUUUCUCUAUUCUCUCUACCUACUCUCUCUCCCAAACCCAUCUCUGGCUGUCAUCUACCUUCCUUCUCUUUCCCUUUUCUUAUUUAUUAUCCUUUCAUUUUUCUUCCUAUUACCCAUUUCUCUCUCUCACCUUAAAGAUCCAUAACCAUGGCUGCCCCAUACUCAACACUCUCACCACUAGAUAGUCACCAUCGGCGAGCCAUUAUUUGUUCAUGAUCCCUUUUCUCCCUUUGUUUCUCUCUUUUCUUCCUUUUCUCUCUUAUCUCACCCUUUUUCUUUAUUUAUUUAUUUAUUAUUAUUAUCUCAUUCUUUCCCCUUAUCCCUUAUUCCACAUUGCAUUCACGAAAUGGGUAAGAUGCCCUUUUUCAUUUUCUUAUUUCUUUAGUCAUUUUAUUUUUUAUUCCUAAAGUAAUUGUUCUUGAUUGUUGAGUUUGCUUGUUUGGACUUUAGAUAAUUUUGCUCGGAAUUUGCAUAUUAGAUGUUGAUCUUCUUUUAGACUUUAAUAAAUUAAGUUAUCCAAAAAUCUUCUUUUAAAAAAAUAAAAUAGGUGGAAUAAGACAUUUUCAUUAAAUAAGAAAAAUGGACCCAAAAAUAAGUUUUUAGACAUCUUUUUAGAUAAAAUAGUCCAAAAAUUUUAUUUUAAUAAAAGAAACAAUUCAUAAUUUUAAAAUAAUAUAAAUAAAUAAAAGGUUCACAAAUAUUUUUUUCAAAUAAAAUAAAAUAAAAAUAAAACAAUUCAAUAAUCUUGUUUUAAUGCAAUAACAAUUCAAAAAAUAUUCUUUUUAAUAAAAUAAAGCUUUUUUUAAUAGAAAGUUUAGAAUUUCUUUUUUAGGAAUCGAAUUUUUUUUAAUAAAAAUUCAAAAAAUUAAAUGGUCUAGAAAUUUAUUCAUUUAAAAAAUUUUCUAAAAAAAUUGAUUUUUAAAUAAAAUUGUCCAAAAAGUUAAUUUUAAUAAAAUCGUCCAAAAAUUUAUUUUUGAAUAAAAUUCUCUUUCCUUGAUAAGAAUGGGAUUAAAAAUAAUUUUUAUAAAUAAAGGUCUUAAAGAAUUUUUUUUAAUAAGAAUAGGAUAAGUAAACCUUUAAAUCAAACUGAAAGACCUUUUUUUUUUUUUUUUUAAUAAAUUAGUAAACUAAUCUCUUUCUAGAUGAAAUCCAAAAAUUAUUUCUUAAUAAUGGAAUCCUUGGGAAUAAAUUUGUGAAUUUUUUUUCUAACUAAAUUAGUAAUAAAGAAUCUUUUUCUAGGUAAAAUAAAAACAUAUAUAUUUUUAAUAAAAUUGGGUUGAACCUUAUAAACUUGUAAAUAUCUUUCUUUAAGUUUGUAAAUUUAAAAAAAAUAAAUAAAGAUUGAAUCAAAACACUUUUUAAAAUAAAUUAGUAAAAUUCACCCCUUCUUAAUAAGGUAAACAAAAAUCAUUUCUUGUAAGUCAAAUAAAAUCUUUUGUAAUAAAUUGAAGCAUUGUGAAUAAAUAAAUUCAAAUCACUAAUUUGAAAUUGUUGUUAAUAUAAAUGAAUUCUUUGAAAAUUUUUGGAAAUUGUAUUAUGAUAUUUGAAAUAAUAAAAUCUUUCUAAUAAAUUAUUUUGUGCAUUUCUUAUAUAUCAUUUUUGCAUAUCCUUAUAAUUUGCUUUUGCAUUAUUCCAUGUGCUUGUAUUAUUCUUUUUUUUUAGUAUCCAUGAUUGAUUAAUUAAUUGUUAUAAUUUCAUUUUUAUGUGCUUAGUAAAAACCUUUUUAAGGCUUAAAAGGGUGCUACUAUGGUACCUUCCAAAUAGGUAAUCUGACCUCUGAAUUCAAACUCAGUUUUUGUCAACACGUCUUUUCUUUAAAAAUGGAGUUACACUAAGGCUUUAUUUCUUAUUUUAUUUUCUUUUAAAAAUAAAUAAAAAUAAGUGGCAACUCUACCUUUUUAAAAAAAUCAAUUUUUUUACAAUCAAAAUAAGUCUCGCCAUCAAGUAGGCAUACACAUAAAAAAUGUGGGUUCACAAUUGUAUUUCUUAGAAUUAAAAUAUAAUACAAUUACUAAAUCAACGAUGUUGUAAGUUUUUAAAUCUUUUAUCAUAAAAAAUUCAAAUCACAAUGGAUCAAAUAGUUUUCAAAAGAAAAAAAAUAUAUUUAAAAUGAAAAAUGUAACAAUAAAGACAAUGAAACAAGGUGAUAUGGUUGGAGUUAAAUAGAAAAAUCUUUUAUCCAUGAAUUUAUAGUUUAUUUAGUAGAAAAAAGUUUGAAAGAAAUAUUGCAUACAUUAAUGGAUUAAGUAGAUAUGGAGUUGUAAGCAAAUAGGAGAUCCUAAUUUUAAAUAUGUAACAAAGUUCUAUAAUCACUUCAAUCCACGUUUAAAAAUUGUAUUUCUUUCUACUAUGGGAUCAAACUUUUUCCUUCUUCUUAUAAAUUUCAUUUGGAAAUGAUUUAAAAAUAAAUAAAUAAAAGCCCUUCUAAAUAUUAAAAAAACACUCUCUUAUAAAAUUUAAUUAGGUGAAUGGUAAGGUCAAAUUGGGGAUAGCUUCAUAUUUUUUGCUUUAACUGAAAAUUAAAAUCGAAAUGAAAGUAAUAAUUUUUAAGAUGUUGUAAAAGUUUUAUUAAACAUGAAAGAACUUAUUGUGUAAACAAAAAUAGAAUUAUAGAAUUCUUAUAAGAAAUAACAUUUUUAUGACUUCUAUAUGAAACCUUUUUUAAAAGUUAUAAGUUUUUUUAAAAAAUAAUAAUUAAAUAGGUAUAAAAACUUUUAUUCAACUUAAUUUUUUUUAACUCUUAAAAGUCAAUCCAAAUAAAAUUUAAAUAUAUUUGAAAAUCAUUUUUAAAAACCCAAAAAAUCACUUAAAAAUAAUUUCUGAACUUUUUUUAAUUUACAUUUAAAUACUAAGUGAUUCUUUUAAAAAUCAUUUAUAAUGUCAAAAUAUUUUUUUAUGGAUAAAAAUAUUACAAAUAAAAAACAUUUCAAUCACAAUUAAUUUAUUUUUAAUUCAUGAAAUUUUAUUUAUUGUUACUUAUUUUUUGGGAUUUAAUUCUUUACAAUUAUUUUUGAGUGUUUAUAUAGAAUAAUUAGGUUAUGCCCAAAUUUAUUCCUUUAACUCUAUCCAUCAGAUAUAAGUAGCGUGAAAUUUUGGCCUGUCUCCACCUUUCUUCGCUUCUGACAUUGUCAUGCACUGCUUCGUCAACUCCAAACACAACCGCUGAGGAUAGAAGAAAAUGAGACAAUGGUCAAUGAAUAAUUUAUUAAUUUAUUUCUUAAUUUAAUAGCCUUGGAAUGUCAGCUGGAAUAAAAUGAAAGUUUUAUCAUUUAAUCUUUUUUAGCACACCACUCAUGAUCUUGGAGAGUACGGUCAAUUGCAAAAGCUUAGUUAAUUGUAAGUGUCUUUUCUCUAAACCAUAAAUUCAAAUGAUCAACUCCUACGUUUUAAUUUACAAAAGCCAGUGAUUAGUUUUUACUGGUUAUUUGAAUUUAAGGAAGCAGAAAAGGGUUUACUUUAAUAAAAAAAUAAAAAAAUAAAAAAUAAAAAGUAAGAGUUGAAAAGUAAUCAAAUCACUAAAAAAAAACAGAUUUACAGUUCUUUUGGUAUGGGGUUAGACUCAAUUUGUUCCCCUGCAAUGGAAAUGGACAACAUUUUUUUUCUUUUGUCCUUUUCCUUUAUCUUGGUGUAGAUAUUCUAAUAUUUUAUAAAAGUAUAAAUUAUAUGCCAAUUAUUUUAACUUUAGGAAAAAACGUUUAUUUUAAUUUAAAAUAAGUAAAUAAAAAAGAACUGAUUUUAUCUCAACAAUAUAAGACUUCAUAAAAAUUAUCUUAUUUGCAAAAUAUUUUCAGAUGUAAAAGUAAAAAUUAAACAAAUCAUUUGAUGAUCUUUUUCAUAAGUAUCCCUUUAGAUCAUAGUCUAAUUUUAAAAUAUUAUAAUAAAUCAAUUAGUCUAAACUACAUCAUUUAUAAUUUUUUUUACUAUUAAUAUGAUACCUAUCCUUCCACGGAAUUGAAAUAAAAUAUGGAUAAUUAAAAAAUGUCAACUAUCCAUGAUAUUUGAUACCAAACUUUUCUAAUACAACAUGAUAUCAUGUUGAAUGAAAUGGGAAUGACCAAAUAUUCUCAAAUCAAAUAUAUAUCUAUUGUGGACACGUCAAAUUCUCUUUUUAUAAUCAAAGACUUCCAUGGAAAAUUCCACCAUAGCAUAUCUCAAACAUUAGUCAAAUUCCAUUAUCUUCAUAGACUUUUAACAAUCCAAGAAAUUGACAUUAAUAAUCCCAAACACAAUAUUCUACAACUUUACAUUAUUCUUUUUAUCGUAAUUGAAGAGGAAUACCAACUUAGUCAAAUAGAAAAUAAAUCACGAAAGCUAAAUAAUACAAAUAUUCAGUGAAAUCUUUGACAUGUUAUUUCUUUGCAGCUUCAACAUGGUGGCAUGUCGGAUGGAGGAGGCAGCAUUUGAGCUUCUGGGUGUUUACCAUUUUUCACUAUGAACGCAGUUUCCAUGCCCCAAGUCACAUGGCGUUCUACAUGGCAGUGGAAGAACCACACUCCUGCAACAACGAAAAUAUACCGACAUUACACCUAACUUAAUUGUAAUAUUAAGAAAAAUUAUUUCAUUGGUAUGCAGGUUGGCAGUUUCAAGGGUUUUUUUUCUUUAUUAGAGGACAUGAGUGCUUGCAACAUACCAGGGUUGGAUGCCUUGAAUCUGAUUGCAACCCAACCUUUCGAAGGAACAGAGAUGGUAUUCUGAAGAGGAGGAUCCACCAGAUUAUAGUGCAAAGGGUCCCUAUUUUCAUCGAAAUUCCUAAAUCCCCAUCCAACAACAUAGAAACUGUAUCCAUGGAGAUGCAUAGGGUGGUGUGUCUCUGCAAGCACGGCUGUCCCUUGAAGAACAAUCUCCACUGUGGAGUUAUACUCGAGCACCCUUACUUCUGUUCCGCUGCUCGGCAACUGAUAGAUUAAUGGAAGAUAAUCAUAUGUAAAAUCGAACACUAGUGGUGGAAAGCUAGGAAAGUUAUUUCCAUAUACACCACUGAUGUUAUAAUAGUAAGCUUCUAGUAUGUCAACUGUAGGGGUAUGGAAGCUUAUGUUGUUUAUACUUGAGGAGAACCGCGUCCCAUUUGGUCCUGCACAUGAAUCAUUGACGCAUGGGUACGAGUUCAUAGAAAGAGUGUAAAACAGCUUAGUGCUCGUGCUCAAUGGGACAUUGCAAGGAUGUUCCUCAUUUGCUAAGCUUCGGAGGCCGGCCAUGACUUGAACCGAUGCAUCUGUGUCAUUGUAUGCAGGAAGAUGAGGCAAGGAGGGAGGUGAAGAUGGAGUGUAGUAACCCCUAUACUGUACUAUAGCUGUGGUGGUUGUGUUAUCAUAGAAGUCUUGAUAUUUCGGGGCAACAGAAUAAGUUAUAGCCGCCAUGUAAUAGUGAUCCGGGCGUUGGUUAGCUUCUAGUAAGACAUCAUAGGUUUGGCCAGGAAAUAUUGUGAUAUAAUCUCGUGUCAAUGGUUUUGUGUAGCUACCAUCUGUUCCA
rnacentral:lncRNA from 1 species